ACAUGAAGAUCUUAAGUUGGGAAAACAAAAGACUGAUAUGAGUAAUUGCUACAGCGGAAGUCUAACAUAUGAAUUUUAACUCUAGCCUCAGCUCCGUCCCGUCAGCACCGGCCAGCCAACCUGAAAAUAUUUGAAAGUAUUUUUGGGCUAAGUACUAAUGUACUUAGUGGGCAUGCAUUUUCUGAAACAUUUCAUAUUUUAAUAAAGACAGUUUAUCCAAUUAUACUUGACAUGACUUAGAAGGUUUUAAAUUGAAAUAACUUCUAAGCAUGUUAAAACAUUUCUUUCAUUUGUGCGCACAUGUCACACUCCCUUUUUGUUACUCGCUGUGAUCCCGGACCUUUUAGCCACCGACGGAUCUCUGUCUCCCGCUUACUUGAACUGAGGGCGUAACCCAGACAAGUUUACUUUGACCUCGGGACGCUACCCAGGCAGGCCUUAUAUUUCUCAUGCUCCGGAACACAUCCAGCCAAGCACCCUUAUAACGCCUCUUACAUGAAUUAGUGCCCGAUGGAGAUCAACCCACCGAAACAACUAACAAGUGUACACAAUUCUCAAAUAACGUGUUAGGCCAUAAGAGAACCUCGAUCGAUCCAUGAAUUGCGAGCCUUAAACAGAGCAGAGUGCACAUAAACAUUUUAUUGGAUAAACAGUUUUCAUUACAUUAAAUAAACAAUUUGCAUUUCAUUGAAACAUUUAGAGCUUAAAUAACUCAAUCAUACUUUGUACAUUUGGAAAGUAAGCCCACCUGGUUAGGCAAAGCCUGAAGAUCAUAAUCACAUAUAAACCUGUCUUGGGAAAGCAGCGCUAAUCCCCCUGGUCACAAAGCCUACAAGAAAUUCUAUUCUUAAUAGGUAUCGUGAAGCUAAUCUUAAGUCAUGGUGUAGUGCUUAAUAUUCUAUGAUUCACUUAGCCGGGUUUUCAAAAUUUAAUGAAUAAAUAAUUGAAAACAUUUCUCUUGAGUUAAGAACACCAACAAUAUUCUUACUCGAUUUUCUUUUAGUGUUUUAGGGUUCUAGCAUCCAUAAUUCGUUCCAUUAAAGACAAUCGAAAAUCAACAUAACCUCGUGACUAACCACAUAAUAUCACGUAAUCACGUAAACAAUAAACAGAAAGAAUUAAAAUCCUCAAGUUUAGUAUCAUUAAAAUCACAAGUUCAUAUGAACAUAAAAGAAAUCAUGCACCAUUUUUAUAACAUUCUAUACAUUUCAUUUUUUUUUCAUGUAAAUAAAUAAGAAAUUCCAUUAUUCAUUUAUAAAUAAUAAAACAUUUUAAAAUCCAUUGAGAUGAAAUAAAACAUUUUAACCAUUUAAAAUCCAUACUCAAAAAGCCUUGAAAUAUUAUANUUAUUAGCUAAUAAUCCUUCAUUUAAGAUUAUUAAGCUCAAAUUAAAAUACUAUUGAGUCCAAUUAAAUAAAUUAAGGACCCAACUUAACAAAUUAAUUCCAUAAUCUCAUGUACUCCUAAGGCCCAACACAGUUUAUUAUUACUAAUCCCAUUGAGAUUAGUAGGCCCAAAUACCAGCUUAAACCCAAUUACUAGUUUGAGCCCAAUUAACCAUUUUCAGUUUUAAAUAAAUUAAAAUUAAUAACCUUCUUUAAAAACAUAAAAACAAGUUAAAUCUACUCUCUGUUUUUCUAUUUCUUCCCCACGCAGACAUCUCUCCCUCUCUCGGCCGCCUCUCUCCCCCCCUUCUCCGGCGAGCGUCGCCGGCUCUCGCCGCUUCCGGCGCGGCGAGGCUGACGCAUCUUCUCCCCUUCCGCUUUCUUCCCUCUCCUUCCUACAUUUAAUUCCCCAAAUUCUUAAAUCAGAAAUAGAGCUAGGGCUUCUUCUCAUUUUCCCUCUGAAUUUCGUCUCUCCGGCGAAGCCUGCCGCCCCGCCGUCGUCUCUGUAACGUCGCCGCCUCUUCUGACUCAGGUAAGUCCCUGUCUCUCUCUCUACUUCUAUCUCUGCUCUCUCUCUCCCUCGAACUCCCUCUCUCUCUGCCCUUUCUCGAUCUCUCGCUCUCUCUCUCUGUCCAGGGCGCGGCGGCCGCCGCAAGCUACGACGGCGCUCGCCGCCGCCUGCCCCGCUCCUCUCUCCUUCUACCUCGUUCUGCCUUUCUCACUCUCUUCCUGCUGUCUGUCUCUAUCUCACACUCUAUCUCACUAUCUCUUGCUCAAUCUCCCUCUCUCUUCUACUGCAGCCACCGCGGCUGCCGUGGCUCAGGCAGCGCCGGUGGUUGCCGCCACCAGCCGCUCCUCCGUCGCGGUGGUUCGCGGCCUGCCGCUGCUAACCUCUCCUUCCACUUUCUCUAUUUCAAUCACCAGUUCAAAAACUCAUCCCAGCAAACUUCCAAUUUAAUUUCUAUUUCAGUUUUAACAUCACAAACUAAUAAAUCUCACAUUAUUUUCUGUUUCAGGAAUCGACCGGCGUCGUCGUUGCUUGAGACGUCUCCGGCGCAACAGUCCUUUAUCAGCUCAAGAUCCUACUUUUAUAAGUCUGUUUCCUUUUUAUUGCUUAUUGAGAAACAACUGUAUUCUUGAGAUUAGAACUGUAUAUGUGAGAUUAGAAUUAGAGAUAUUAACUAUUGUUCAUCUUGGUUGUCGAUUACUGUUUUAGCAAGGAUAAUUGUACUGAAUUAAAGAAAACUACCUUCUCUGCUGUGAACUGCUGCGGGGAUAUUUGUAUUCUGAGGGAUAUUUGUUUGCUGUUGGAAAUUUGCAGAAUGGGGGAAAAAUUGUUUCACGCUCAACUCCUCUUUUCUUAUACUGUUUUAAGUCGGUUGAGGGAGUGGUUGAGUCACGUAUGCUACGUGUUCUUUCAAGGAUCAGACAUGCCUGGUUUGGGAUUCCUAUUAUUAUUAUUCACACCUAUUGACCCAAAUAACAGCAGCUGUUGGGCUUAGUUAAAAACUGAGUUCAUAUAUAUAGAUACUGGGCUUUGGUUAUCAAAUAAGAUUACUGGCCCAACAACAUUAUUGGGCUUCUUUUAUAUAACAAAACUCUUGGCCCAAACAAUUACUAUUGGGCUUAAAAAUUUGACUGAAUAGUACUUGGGCUUAUAUACUAAUAUAAUCAUUGGCUCAAAAUAAAAAAAAUAUUGAGCUUAACUCCACAAAUUCAAAUAAUCACUUGCCCAAAUAAUAUUAAUAAUAUAUAGUAUACUGUAGUGAAAAUGCCGGAUGUUACAUUUUUUAUGAAAAUUUACCAAUUGAAAUACUAAAUAAAUUGGUAUAUUUUUAAUCUGACAUUAGUUUUUUCAAGCUUCAGACGAGAUGGUUGUAAGAACAUAGUUAUAGUCCUUCAAAUUUAAAAUGAUAUGAUGCUUUCCUCAAAAAAAAAAUGAUAUGAUGCUCAUAAGUCAAUUAUGCUCUUUCAAACUACGAACAAGAUAAUGCUUAUAACUCAAUUAUUAUCUUUCAAGCUCUACAUGAGGUGAUAUAGAUAAGUUUGUCAUUAUAUUUCAAACUCGACACGAAACGAUGUUAAGAAGUUCACUCUUAUUUUACAUGUUACAAAUGGUAUAAUCUCACAAGAUCUAGAUAAUGUGGUAUAAUCCAAUAAACCUCUUUGUGUUGCUAUAUCCGUGAUAAUGUUUAGGCCUUCCGCCACGAUAAGAAAAAGGAAAGGUGAGAUUGGAUCGCCUUGCCUGAUCCCUCACUCCAUUUGGAACUCGCCCGACGGGCUCCCGUUCACCAAAACAUUGGUCGUGGCAGAUCUAAGACACCCUGAUAUUCACCUUCUCCAUCUUUGGCUAAAAUUCAUUUUCUCAAGCAUUAAAUCCAGAAAAUCCCAAUCAACUGUAUCAUACGCCUUAGCAAAAUCCACUUUAAAAAGAGUAACCCCUUUCUUUCUCUUUUUGGCAUCCUCAAUAAUUUCAUUCAACACUAUCACCCAUCCAAAAUAAAUCUCCCCUCGAUAAAAACACUUUGACAAUCGGUAAUAAUAGAGCACAUUACCUAUUUCAAUCUGGAUGCGAGCACUUUUGUGAUCACUUUGUAAAGGCAAUUGAUGAGUGAGAUUGGCCUGUAGUCCUUCAAAACCGAAGCUGCUUCUUUUUUCAGGAUAAGAACUAUGAACGAAGGAUUGCAUCCUCUUGGUAUAGUGCCAUGUGUGUGAAAUUCAUACAUAACCUUCAUCAGAUCCUCUUUAACUAUUUCCCAACACUUUUUCAUGAAAUGGAAGUUGAAGCCAUCGGGUCUGGGGCUUUUACUUCCAUCGCAGUUCCACACAGCCGCUUUCACCUCUUCCUCGGUGAACUCAGCAUCCAAAUGUUGUUUCAUGUCUGUUGUGAUCUUUUUUUGUACAAAAUCAGCCGGGAGUUUAGGUUUGAUUCCUCUUCCUUGUUUGAAUUGAGCUUCAAAGUGAUCUCGGAUCGCCUUUUUAAUUUCAUUUGGUUCGUCGACCCAUCUGUCCUCGAUUUGGAGUCCAGCAAGAUCAUUCUUUACACGUCUUCCAUUGAUAACUUUGUGGUAAAAACCGCUGUUAAUAUCUCCAUCCUUCAACCACCGGGUCUUCGCCUUUUGAGCAAGCAAGGAAUCUCCGUUCCUCAGUUGGAGAAGCAGCAGCGCAGCGCCGAGGUCUCGUUUCUCUUAACAAUUUCUUCUUCCCCCAAACCCAAGAAAUCAUCUUUUGUGUCCCAUUCCUUAAGCUCGUCUUUAAGUUUUGAAAUGUUUUCGUCAAUCGACCCAAAACAAGAUUUGUUCCAAGCCUUGAGGUCCACCUUCAACCGCUUCAUUUUUUAUUUGAAAAUAAAACAACUCCAACCCGAGAGGCCGGGCCUAUUCCACGAAUCUUUAACAACCUUUUCAAAAUUUGGGUGACUUGUCCAAGCAUUGACAAAUCUAAAAGGCUUUGGCCCCCAGUCAACUAAUUUUGUCUCCAACAAAAGCGGGCAGUGAUCAGAGACUGUUCUUUGUAGACCUCUUGAUUUUGAGUGUGGCCACGACAACAGCCAUUUCUCAUUGACCAAAAAACGAUCCAAUUUUGUCUUGCAUUGGCCUUGCGGUUGGUACCAAGUGUACUUCCUUCCCUGCAACCGGAUUUCAGUCAAAUCACUCCCUCUGAUGAACGAAGCAGCAAUAUCUCUGGCCGAGAAAUGAGUUCCUCUCCCAGCACGCUCAGAUACCGCUCUCACAGAAUUAAAGUCUCCUCCAAUACAGACAUUAACAUCCUUAUUUUGAACAAUCACCAAUCCAAUUUGAUCCCAAAGAUUCUCUCUAUCAACCAGAUUUUGUGGAGCAUAGAUAUUGAUAAUGCAGCAGCCAACAUUACCUGGAAUCCACAUGCCGUUUAUAAUCACCGCUCCAGGAAUUUCCCACUGACUGGCGCAAGAAAAAUUUGUUGAAUUCCAUAGGGUUAGGACCCCCCCCCACCCGACCUCCCUUCGGCUCUUUGAGACGCUUUCCCAAAAUUAUCUGCACCCCAUAUCAAAAUCCCCGUAAUUCUCCAUUUUUGUUUCCUGAAUUAAACAGAUAUCAAUGCCCUGCUUCUGGAUGAUCUCCCUGACCUCUCUCUUUUUUACUUUGCUCCCCAGCCCUCUAAUAUUAUACGAGAUCUUCUUCAUUGAUCACAUUUAUCAUUCUCCUCGUCCACUCCCUCUUUGCCUUCGCUAUCCGCCAAUAGAGAAGCCAUUUCUCGAUCCCCAUCACGCUUCUCAUUAUCAAUGUUGAGACCGAUUUCUUUACCAAACUCCCAAAUUCUUCUCCCUUCCUCUUCACUUCUUUGGUUGAGAUCUGUAAUUGCCUCCUUAGGGUUUGAGGCGGAAAGUUGAAGCUUCAAAUCAAAAUUGCCAGUUUCAUGGAUUCGAGACAUGGGCAAUGUCUCCUUACACAUGUAAGAUUUCCUGAACGCCUUUUUGAGAGGAAAUUUCUUAGGUUUCUUCUGUAAGAAACGAUUAAGACCCAAUCUGAUGGAGUGAUCACACCCGCUCCUUUUCUUCUGAGGCAAGAGAUUUUUGGCCGAGCUGUUCUGCAGACUUUGUGAUAUUUUGUACUCCCUCCGUCCCAUAAUAAGUGGCCACAUUCUUUUCGGCACGGAGAUUAAGAAAUUGAGUGUUAUAUGUUUUAAUAGAGUGUGGCCUACAAUUGUUGACCAAAUUAGUGAGUAAUUAUUGACUUAAUUAAAGUAAUUUUGGCAUUUUUAGAAAGUGGCUUACAAUUGUUGACCAAAUUAGUGAGUAAUUGUUGACUUAAUUAAAGUAAACUUUUGCCAUUUUUAGAAAGCAGCCACUUAUAGUGGGACAGACGAAAAAGGAAAUGUGGCCACUUAUUAUGGGACGGAGGGAGUAUCUGGAUCAAUUUGCCGAAGUGAGUCGGUUGGAAAGGGCUCUUGUUGGGUAGUAAAAAAAUCCCCCUCAUUGUUAUCCUUCGGCCCAAAAUCAGGGGACCCGUCAGAAAAAUCCGUAAACUGAUUUAAAGGACGCUCCUUUGGGCCAUUAAUGAAAGUUGGGCUUGAACAAAAAUAAUCCGUCCCCCUUUGGUCCACCUCGCCAUCUUCAUUGGGGUUGGUUGGAAAGGCUUCGACACGUGUUUUGGAGCACGAAUCUCCACUCCUCGACAAAACCACGAAUCUCCAUUGUCAAUUUUUUUUAUUUAUGUAUGAUUUUAAAAUUUAAUUAAAAAUACAUAAAUUUUCAAGUAAUUCCAAUUAUGACAUAAUUUGAAUUUCUGUCAAAUGCCACAAAAUCAACCGUUAAAAAACGACACCAUUUUCAUUAGUAUAACUGUGUGUCUUGUGUGGCAACCGACCAUAUUGAGUCACGUUUGGAGUUUUGAUUACCAAUUAAAAUUUUAUUUGACAGAAAUUCAAAUUAUGUUUAAAUUGUGAUUAAAUUAAAAAUUAAUAUCAAGUAAAAAAAAUUUAAAAAUUAAUAUAUUUUAAAAUUAAAUUAUAAAAUUAGGUUAUAAAUAAAAAAAUUAGCAAACUAUAAAUAUUUUACGGUAAAUACGGAGGCAAAAGGGCUGUUUUGACUUAAGAAUGUACAAUAUCUAUUUCAAUAUUAAUAUAUCGAUGAGUAAGUGAGAGAGUGAAAGUGAUAUUGAAACUAAAGCUUCUCCCUUCCCUGCCAUGGCGACGCCGCUGCUUCAGAAACCCUCAAUCCAGAAGCUUUGAUUCCAUCCAUUUUGCAGGCAAGUCGUUCAUCAUUUCCCAACACAUCUUCUAUUUGGAUCAAAACAUGAUUGCAAUUGCACGCAGGAAUCUCUCCUGUUUAUUUGUAAACCCUAAUUCAUUUCUCUGCAACUCCAAUGCUCAUCUCUUCCCGUCAAUCCAUUUCUUCUCCACUUCGAGGGUGAAAAACCUAAUCCCUAACCCUAAAAUCUACGAUCUAUUGGUCAACAAACACCAAUUUCCUCCUGAUUUAGCUUCACUAGCUUCAUCGGGUUUACCUAAAUCUAGAAGCCCCUUAAGAGUUGAUACAUUAUUGUCAUUCCUCAAAGAGAAUAGCUUUACGGCUACUCAGCUGCUGAAAGUCGUCACAUAUAAUCCUCGAAUUCUAGGGUUUACCAUUGAGAGCAUUAAUUUCAAAUUGAAGGUAUUCCAGAGUUUGGGCCUUUCCCCCAAGGAGAUUGCCAAGAUAAUAUCCGAACAUACGACUAUUUUACAUUUAAGUUAUGAGAAUAGGAUCAUUCCGAAAUUAUCGAUGCUAAAGUGCUUGCUGGGAUCCGAUCAUGAUGUGGCCAGACUUUUGAAACGAUGCAGCUGGUUUCUGUCAGCCGAUUUGGAGAAAACCUUAAUGCCAAAUAUGGAAAUCUUGAAGAGCUAUUGCAUACCAAUGGAGCGUAUCCUUUAUUUUCUCCAUCUUCGCCCGAGAUAUUUCGUGGUCAAGCCGGAUAUUAUGCAGAAAUCUGUAGUCAGGGCUAUAGAAUUUGGGGUCCCUUGGACUCAAGGCGUUUUUAUCCACGCUGUGAGUCUUUUCACUUAUACGAGUGAAGGGAUGUGGGAAGUCAAGGUGCAAAUGCUCCGCGAUUUGGGAUUUUCUGAUGAUGAUAUACUCACAAUAUUUAGGAAGCAACCAUUGGUUUUCUCACAAUCUGGGAAGAAAAUGAAGAAUGUCACAGAGCUUCUGCUUGCUACCGGUAAGUACGAUCUAUCCAGCAUUGUCACUUGUCCAGUAACACUCAUGUGUAGUAUGAAGAAGAGGCUUGAGCCGCGUCUGCAAAUACUUAGACUCUUGGAAAGUAGGAGUCUGAUUGAAAAGUGGCCAAAACUGUCAGCUGUUGCUACAUUAAUAGAGGAUAGAUUUUUUGACAGAUUUGUUGAGCCUUAUCGUGAUGAGAUUGACGAAGAACACAUCACAAAGAUAUAUGUCAAGACAAAAAGAGAUGAAACUUUGUAAGCAACGAGUUUCGCCUUUGCAAUCGGAAGCUCAAAGUUUUGGUCCCUGUCCUGCUGUGAGUUUGAAAGCAUACUGCGAUGAUGUGGCGUCGGAGGGCUGAUGAACUUGGAGAAGGCCUUGAGCUAGCUAAAGAAGCCAUGGUGAUUCAAAUGGAUUGUUAGUUUAUAUUCUAAACUUUCUUAUAUUGGAUGCAUUUUGAAGCAAUUGCUGUAGAGUUGGAGCUGACUGGAUUCAGCUGAGUUCGGAGGAAUUAAUAUGAUUUUUUUUGUUUUUUGUUUUUUUUUUUAAUGAUCAGUAAGCGAAAUAUGCUGUUGUGAAUCCUUGUGGCUUUUUCCAGUGUUUCUCAAUUUCUCACCUCAUUAAUGUAACUUCCUUCUAUUUCUCAAUACAUUUGGUUGGAAAUGCUCUUAUUUUGAGAGUGUUAAUUGGAAACGGCAGUCAUCAGAAAUCGAAUAAUGGAGUAGAAUUGUUGAUGUGAUUUCGUAGACAAUAGAAAAAAUCUCGAUCGAUUAACUUAUGCGAGCAUUAAAUAGAGCAGGGUGCACACAAAUAUUUUAUCCGAUGAACAGUUUGCAUUUCAUUGAAACAUUUAAGCUCAAUAGCUAAAUCAUACAUUUGAAAAAUAAGUCCAUCUGAUUAGGCAAUGUCUGUCGUUUAUUCUUAACUUUGAAUCGGAAUAGCAACGCUAGUCCUCACGACCCACAAAGCUUUCAAGAAAUCUAUAAUCUUAAUAGGUCCUCUUAAUCUAAUCUUAAAUCAUAAUGAANUCCAAUGCUCAUCUCUUCCCGUCAAUCCAUUUCUUCUCCACUUGGAGGGUGAAAAACCUAAUCCGUAACCCUAAAAUCUACGAUCUAUUGGUCAACAAACACCAAUUUCCUCCUGAUUUAGCUUCACUAGCUUCAUCGUGUUUACCUAAAGCUAGUAGCCCCAUAGGAGCUGAUUCAGUAGUGUCAUUCCUCAAAGAGAAUAGCUUUACGGCUACUCAGCUGCAGAAAGUCGUCACAUAUGAUUCUCGAAUUCUAGGGUUUACCAUUGAGAGCAUUAAUUUCAAAUUCAAGGUAUUCCAAAAUUUGGGCCUUUCCCCCAAGGAGAUUGCCAAGAUAAUAUUCGAAAAUACGACUAUUUUACAUUCAAGUUAUGAGAAUAGGAUCAUUCCGAAAUUAUCGAUGCUAAAGUGCUUGCUGGGAUCCGAUCAUGAUGUGGCCAGACUUUUGAUACGAUGCAGCUGGUUUCUGUUAGCCGAUUUGGAGAAAACCUUAAUGCCAAAUAUGGAAAUCUUGAAGAGCUAUAGCAUACCAAUGGAGCGUAUCCUUUAUUUUCUCCAUCUUCGCCCGAGAUGUUUCGUGGUCAAGCCGGAUAUUAUGCAGAAAUCUGUAGUCAGGGCUAUAGAAUUUGGGGUCCCUUGGACUUCAGGCGUUUUUAUCCAAGCUGUGAGUCUUUUCACUCAUACGAGUAAAGGGAUGUGGGAAGUCAAGGUGCAAAAGAUCCGCGAUUUGGGAUUUUCUGAUGAUGAUAUGCUCACAAUAUUUAGGAAGCAACCAUCAGUUUUUGCACAAUCUGGGAAGAAAAUGAAGAAUGUCACAGAGAUUCUGCUUGCUACCGGUAAGUACGAUCUAUCCAGCAUUGUCACUUGUCCAGCAGCACUCGGGUACAGUAUGAAGAAGAGGAUUGAGCCGCGAUUGCAAAUACUUAGACUCUUGGAAAGUAGGAGUCUGAUUGAAAAGUGGCCAAAACUUUCAGCCGUUGCUACAUUAACAGAGGGUAGAUUUUUUGACAGAUUCGUUAAGCCUUAUUGUGAUGAGAUUGGCGAAGAACACAUCACAAAGAUAUAUGUGGAAGGCAGAAAAAGAUGAAGCUUUGUAACCAGAUACUCAAAGAACUUGUAUGAAGUUCUAAUGCUGAAAGUUGGUAGUUGUUUUUGCCUUUGCAAUCGGAAGCUCAAAGUUUUGUUCCAUGUUGAUGAAGUUGGGAAGGCCUUGAGCUAGCUAAAGAAGCCAUGGUGAUUCAAAUGGAUUGUUAGUUUAUAUUCUAAACUUUCUUAUAUUGGAUGCAUUUUGAAGCAAUUGCUGUAGAGUUGGAGGUGACUGGAUUCAGCUGAGUUCGGAGGAAUUAAUAUGAUUUUUUUUUUGUUUUUUUUUUUUUUUUAAAUGAUCAGUAAGCGAAAUAUGCUGUUGUGAAUCCUUGUGGCUUUUUCCAGUGUUUCUCAAUUUCUCACCUCAUUAAUGUAACUUCCUUCUAUUUCUCAAUACAUUUGGUUGGAAAUGCUCUUAUUUUGGGAGUGUUAAUUGGAAACGGCAGUCAUCAGAAAUCGAAUAAUGGAGUAGAAUUGUUGAUGUGAUUUCGUAGACAAUAGAAAGAAUAUCGAUCGAUUAACUUAUGCGAGCAUUAAAUAGAGCAGGGUGCACACAAAUAUUUUAUCCGAUGAACAGUUUGCAUUUCAUUGAAACAUUUAAGCUCAAUAGUUAAACCAUACAUUUGAAAAAUAAGUCCAUCUGAUUAGGCAAUGUCUGUCGUUUAUUCUUAACUUUGAAUCGGAAUAGCAACGCUAGUCCUCACAACCCACAAAGCUUUCAAGAAAUCUAUAAUCUUAAUAGGUCCUCUUAAUCUAAUCUUAAAUCAUAAUGAAUUGCUUAAACAUUCUAUGAUUCACUUAGCCGGGUUUUCAAAAUUUAAUAAAUAAAUAAUGAAAACUAAUUUUUUUGAACUAAAAGCACCAACAACAUCCUUACUCGAUUUUUCUUUGAAAAUUGGAUUUAUGUUAAACAAACUUUAAUCAUAAAUGAUCCUAUUAGUAAAAUAGUAAUGCAAAUUUCUUUCAUGCUCAAUUAAUAUAACAAGUAAUCACACUUAAUAUAUGCACAUAAUAAAUAUUAUUAUUAUUAUGCAAUUAUAUUUAGUAAAAAUUUAAUCAAGCUCAAAUAUAAAGUCUAACUAGUACGCCUACCCGUGCGAUGCACGGGAAAUAUUAUAAUUACUUAAAUUAAAAAUAAUUAAAAUUAAAUUUUAUAUAAUUAAUUAAUUAUAAAUAAUUCACUUAUAAAUUUUAAAUCAAAAAAUAUAAGUAGUUAACCAUUGAUUUGUAAUAAAUAAAAAAGGAAGAUGAAAAAUAAAAAAAUACAAAAAAUAAGAUAAGAGAGAAAUCAAUUUGCACUCGAAAUAAAAAAGAAAGAUAUAGAGAAAUUAAUUUGCACCGGUAGUUUCUCAAGUAACGCCUUUUACUUUUUUAUUUUUAUAGAAUAAGUUGCAAAUCAGUUUGUAUAUAUAAAUAGGUAUGAUGAUGAAAUUGACAAAAAAUAAAAAUUGUCGAAUACAUCAAUUACAAUAUAAACUAUAUUGACAAUAUUACAUGUAAAUAGACUAAAUAAAAUUGACUAAAGAACGAAAAAUAAAUAAAAUUAUAAUGGUACUCUUGUAAACAAAAAUCAAACUUUUAUACAAUUUUCAUUGGGAUGAAGCAAAUGUUAAUAGGAUAUUCUUCGCCUCCAAUCUUCUUCAAUCUAUGCUCUUCCUGAUGCACUCAUAUAUGCUAAUGAAAAAAUACAGAGCAGUGUACAUCCAAAUGAAAAUGUCAAGCUCCUCCAAAAUCAACCAAACUAUACAUAUUUGUAAUAUGAAAAUAUUUUGCAAUUCUAAUAAUGCAUUCAUAUAACAUUAGGAUAUUGCAACACAAGUUAAACAUAGGAAGACCCCUUUUCUUAUUCAAUUCUUGUUCUUCAAAUCUUUCAUUGUUUUUUAUGUUUUCAGUACUCAUGGCGAAAUUUAAUGCAAUGUUUGAAUAAGAUCUAGAAAUGUCAUAUUUGCUUAUAAAAGUAUCAACACAUUUUGCUUUCAAUCUUUUCAUUACAAAUUAGAUGCUUAACUGAUAGCUAACAAAAGACUUCUAUAGAACAAAACUGAUUUAAAAGAGAAAUCAAUAGUGAAAGUAAUCAAUUUUUUAAGAUAUAACAGUUACAUUUCCUCAAAAAAAAAAAAAAAGAUAUAACAGUUACAUGAUGUAAGCCAAUAAAACGCAGAUGGUUGCAAAAUGAAAAAUGUGUAAAUUGAAAACCACUGAUGUAACAACCCGCUCUUUUAUUAUAUUUAAAUCCAGGAAUUCGAUAAUUAUUAUUUCAUCUUUCAGUAAAUCAAACCCAAUAAUUAUUUAUGAUUUAAAUUCAACUUAUGACACUGGAUUAUAUUCUAAUUAAGCAGGAUUAUUAUUUUAUUACCAAGUCAGUAGCUUCGCGUAAAUAAAACCGCGAUGAGAAUUAUUGAGUAAGCCAAUAAUUAUUUAUUUCAGAUUCAUAACUGACUUAGUUAAGUCAUGUUAUUUAUUAAUCACAAUAGAAUUAUUUUUCUAUUAUUAUUUCUUGAGUCGUGAUUUAUUCCGGUUUAUGAAGAAUUAAAUCUACGGAUUUAAUUUAGAAUUUAUUCUAGCUAAGAAAGGAAGCAGAUAUCGAGUAGUUUCAUAAACACGCGAUAUUAACAAAACCCAGUAGUUGGAUUUUAUUUAACAAGAAGGAAAGGUCAUUGCCUACGCCUCGCGACAACUAAGGCCACAUGAAUUGAACUACCCCACUCAUGAUCUGGAACUGGCAGCAAUUGUGCAUGCUUUGAAAAUUUGGAGACACCAUCUAUACGGAGUUAGAUGUGAAAUCUUCACUGAUCACAAAAGCUUAAGUAUUUUUCGAGCAGAAAGACUUGAAAUGAGACAGAGAGAUGGCUCGAGCUCGUGAAGGAUUACGAUGCGGUAUCAACUACCACCCGGGAAAAGCUAAUGUAGUAGCUGAUGCUUUAAGUCGUAAAACUCAAUCCGAGUUAGGACUUCUUCUCACUCAAGAGGACACGCUUGUAAGGAUUUUGACAAAUUGAAGAUAGAAGUGGUUCAGCCACCGGCAACGACAAGAGCAAUUAUUGCAACUCUAGUAGCCGUCCCAGACCUCAGAGAAAGGAUCGUCAGUGCCCAGAGACGGAUGAGAGCUUGGAAAAAGUUCGUCUCAAAUCCGAACAGGCACGCCAGGAGGCUACCAAGAGGCAAAGGAUAACGCAGUUCUUUUUGAAGGAAGAUUGUGUGUUCCCCAUAACGAGGAACUCAGAAACGAGAUCAUGAGUGAAGCUCAUGACACGCCCUAUACCGCUCAUCCCGGGAGUACCAAAAUGUACCAAGAUCUAAAACAGAAGUUUUGGUGGGACGGGAUGAAACGAGAUAUAGCCUCGUUUGUAGAGCGUUGCCUUGCAUGCCAGCAAGUGAAAGCUUUACAUCAACGACCAUAUGGGAAAUUACAGCCAUUGGAAAUCCCAGAAUGGAAGUGGGAGCACAUAGCGAUGGAUUUCGUGACGGGUUUACCCAAGACAAAUAGGGGCAACACACUAUUUGGGUAAUAGUAGACCGUCUCACAAAGCGCUCAUUUUAUACCGAUUCCAAUUACCCAUGGAUCGGAGAAACUAGCCCAACUGUACAUUCGUGAGAUUGUACGGCUACAUGGAAUACCAAUAUCCAUUACUUCAGAUAGAGAUUCAAAAUUUACUUCUAGAUUUUGGAUCAGUUUCAGAAAGAGUUGGGAACGAGAUUAAACUUUAGCACCGCCUUUCACCCUCAAACAGAUGGACAAUCAGAAAGGACAAUUCAGACCCUUGAAGAUAUGUUGAGGACAGUGGUGCUAGACCGAGGAGGAAGUUGGGAAUCAGUGCUGCCGUUAAUCGAAUUCGCCUACAACAAUAGUUACCAGGCAACCAUUGAUAUGGCACCUUAUGAGGCGCUGUAUGGAAGGAAGUGUAGAUCACCACUUUACUGGGAUGAGUGGGUGAAAGAAAAAUCCUUGGGCCAGAUGCAGUAAGCGAGAUGAUUGAGACCAUCCGCCAGAUUAGAGCAAGAAUUAAAGAGGCCCAGGACAGACAGAAGUCUUAUGCUGAUACCCGACGAACUGAACUACAAUUUCAGAUUGGAGACAAGGUUUUCCUUAAAAUAUCACCCUCGAAAGGGAUCGUUAGAUUCGGUGUUAAGGGUAAGUUGAGACCCCGUUUUGUAGGACCUUAUGAGAUCCUUGAAAGAAUAGGUCCCGUAGCGUAUAGGUUGGCACUGCCACCUAGCUUUGGAAACGUCCACAAUGUGUUCCACGUGUCACAGCUGAGACGGUACGUGUUUGACCCCAAACACGUGAUUCACCAAGAUGAAAUGAUUCUUAACCCAGACUUGACGUACGAGGAAAAACCUGAAGCCAUUUUGGACCGAAAGGUGCAAGAGUUAAGGAAUAAAUCGAUCGCGUCAGUCAAAAUACUGUGGAGACACCAUGGACCGGAAGAAGCAACGUGGGAACUUGAGGACCAGAUGAAAGAAAAAUACCCAGAACUUUUCACAUAGGUAUGCAAAUUUCGGGACGAAAUUUUUGUUAAGAGGGGUAGUAUGUAACAACCCGCUCUUUUAUUAUAUUUAAAUCCAGUAAUACGAUAAUUAUUAUUUCAUCUUUCAGUAAAUCAAGCCCAGUAAUUAUUUAUAUUUAAAUUCAGCUUAUGACACUGGAUUAUAUUCUAAUUGAAGCAGUUAUUAUUUUAUUACAAGCAGUUAGCUUCGCGUAUAAAACCGCGAUGAGAAAUUAUUGAGUAAGCCAAUAAUUAUUUAUUUCAGAUUCAUAACUGACUUAGAAGUCAUGUUAUUUAUUAUCACAAUAGAAUUAUUUUUCUAUUUUUAUUAUUAUUUCUUGAGUCGUGAAUUUAUUCCGGUUUAUGAAGAAUUAAAUCUACGGAUUUAAUUUAGAAUUUAUUCUAGCUAAGAAAGGAAGCAGAUAUCGAGUAGUUUCAUAAACACGCGAUAUUAACAAAACCCGGUAGUUGGAUUUUUAUUUAAAAAAAAAAAUGCAAUACAAUAUUACAGAUAUAGAAAUUCCAAGACAAGAAUUAUUGCUUCUGUUUAUACUUCACUUUACAAACCCCUAUUUUUCUAUCUAUCUACCAACACUUAAAAAAAAAAAAAAAGGAAUAGUGUAUGUGUGUGAAGAAAAUCUGCAGCUAUCCCUUAAGCAUGCUCAAGCAUGCUCAGCCAUCUUGACAUUUUUCUUUACUCCAGCUCCACGCCUUGAAUAUCUUCUUUGACUCCAGCUCCAGCAGCAUAUUUGCACAAUUUUUGACUUGCACAAGUGUGCAUUUCACACCGAACACCUUCAUUGGUUUCAGAUUUCAGCAGCUAUUAUCCUCAUUCAUCCCAUUCCAACUUACUGCUUUCAUCUCUCUGCCAAAGAAUUCAAGUUCAGUUUAAUUCUCUUCAUUCAACUGCAACCUUCAACCAAAGCAAACAUUAAGGUAUUCUGUUUCUUUUCAAUUUACUUCCUCCUGUUACAUGAUGCACACCCACAGAAAUCAUAUUCAUUAGAUUGAAAUGCAUCAUACGAAGGGAGUAGCAUAACUAGUUACUUCUAUAGAAUCAAACCACACAUGUUGUCAUCAUGCUAUAACAUUAAAAUUUAGAUCCACAGCAAGAGGCAUGUAAGUAUCAUACUUUUAAGCAGAACCACGGACCUCACACGUUGAUUAUGAAAUGUUUAAGAGAUGGAAUGAAUCAUAUGCACACAUCAAUGGACUUAGUAUAUAGCUCUACUAUAUCACUUGAACAAAUUUUUUUAAAAGAAAACCAAGGUUACGGUAGAGUAGUUUAGACUUAGCUUCGAACGGGCUGGACACCAGGAUCGAAACGACGACGGCGAGAACUUCGUCGACAAAACAGGACGGCUACAUCGCGCUAGCUGGCAACUCACAGAUGACGGCGAACCAUGGAGGACGACGAGGCAGAACCCUGCUUCCUGUCGGAGCUCGACGGAGCAGGAAAAGAGAGGCCGAACACCGAAGAGGCAGCGGCGGUUUCAGGCGAGAAGCUCGCCUUGGUGCUCCACGAACAGCAGCAGCCGCGACUCCGGGCGAGCAGCAGCAGCCUGCAGCAACUCCAGGCCGCGACUCCGGAAGCAGCCAGCGGCGGACUCCGGCAGACAACGCGAAGGCCAGAUCCGUCGACCUCAGGCGAACAGCAGCAGCCCACUGACCGCUCGUAGCUAAAGCAGGCGGAGGCCCAAGGCGGACGGCUGUUGGCUGGUAGGAGGCGAGGCGGCGUGACCCGAAGCGAUGCGAGACGCCGUCGCACGGGGUGGCGCUGCCGAAGGCCAAGCGCCGCUAGCCACUGCGAGAACGGAGCAGCAGCAGCAAGCGCUCGUCCGCUGCCGGAAACGUGAUGGAGAGCAGCAAGCGCUCGUCCGGUGCCGGAAACGUGAUGGAAAGAGAGGGCAGAUGGGAGGCGGCGAGCGUGUGAGGAUGAGAGAGAGAGAUAGAGGAGAAGAGGGAGCAGGCGGCGUGGUCGCACCUGCCUCACGCCGGCCUCGCUGGCGACCGGAACGGCCAGGACGCGGGGAGGGAUGGCUGGAUCGAGCGAGAGAGAGAGAUGAUGAACAGUGUUCGUUUCUUGAUAAUUGAGAGAGAGAUGAUGAGCAGCUUUCGUUUCUUGAUAAUUGAGAGAGAGAGAGUUCUACUUUAAUAAAAGAAAAAAAGGAGAAACGAUAAUUGAGAGAGAGGUGUGUUCUGUUUAAAAAAAAGGGAGAAGAACCGAUAAUUAAGAGGAGAGAGUGUUCCUUUCUUAAUAAAGAUAGAGAGAGAGAGGAGAAUUGUCGGUAGUGAGAGAACCGAGAGUGAAGACUUAUGGGGAGAAUUUUUGGACUCUUUUAUUGGGCCUAGUUCAUUUUAUUUGUUGGGCCGGGGAUUAAUUCAUUGGGCCAUCUUUUUAUUUCUAUCUGGGCCGAAUUUAUUUAAUGUUCUUGGGCUGGAAUUUAUUUAAUUCUAUUGGGCCUGUUUCAGAUUUGUUUAGUUCAGCCCAGCUGUUAAUUCGUCAUUUGGGCCGAUUAAAGUGUCUAUUGGACUAGAUUAAUUCUUUCCAGUCCACAUUAAUUAUUACUUGGACUCCUAUUAUUUAUUAAUAAUGGGUCUCGAAUUUAUAUUACUUGGGCUCCUACGAUUUAAUUGAUUAAGUCCAAUGAAAUUUAUUUAUUUAACCCAAUAAGAAUUAUUAUUUUAGGCUUCUUUAUUAAUCCUAAUUAUUUUUAAUUAGUGAUUAAUAUUAAAAUUUACUAAUUUUUUUAAGGGUGAUGAUGGGCUCACUUAUUGGGCUUCAUGAUUUUUAUUAUCUUGGGCCUCAUUUGUUGGGCUCUAGAAUUAAUUGAUGUUGGGCCUAAUAUUAUUAAUGCAUGGGCUUGAAUUUUUCUUUGGGCUCGAAUUAAAUUCCUUUUGGGCCUUGAUUUAUUUUAUUUUAAUUGGGCUUCAUAAUUAUUCUAUUAAUUUAAUUAGAGAAGAUUUUAAGACUUACUAAUUAUUAAUUAGUAAGUGAAUUAGAUUAUUUUAAAUGAGUAGAUUAUUAAAGAUUAAUAAUCCGACCUCAUAAGACGAGCUUUAAUUCCUUAAAUAGGAUUAGCAUCUCAUAAUUUAAUUAAAGGAAUAUGAGUCAUGCAUAAUCAUUUCACGCAUCCUCAUUUAUUGAGAUUUUUCGAGAAUUAGAAUCUUAUUUUAUUUUCUCGGAUUAAAGGUCAAGCACCAGAGUUAGAGCUAAACCGUGAGUCUGCUAUUCAGGUGGGCUUUCUACGUAUAAAUAAAACUAUAUAUUAGAAUUGUUAAGACUUUAUGCUUAUGAAUUUAAAUGAUAUUGUCAAUGCCUAAAUGCUUUAUGUUUUAUUAUUAAUUGCCUAUCUGAUGUUAAUCGAAUUCGGAUUCUGGAUGGGACCGCAAAUCCCUUCGGAAUUAGUGUACACCUUGUGAUCGUGAGUCAUCUAGCGGGUUGGCCGAUCAUAGUGUCCGUAGAGGGAGGCCUCCCUCUCGGCACGAGUUACUGAUAUGGUGAUUAAUGAUAUAAAAUACCUGCGCGGGUUAUUGAUGAAAGAAAUGAUAUUAUGUUUGGUAAAUACGAGUCUUUAAAGGAAAACCCUCGUAUCUUACUACUGUUGAAAGGCUUGACAAUAAAAUAUUAUGCAUAUAUGUAAAUUUCGGCAAGUGUCCACUAAGUACUUUUGUACUUAGCCCUGCAUGUAUUUUUAAAUGUGCAGGUUGAGCUGUGAUCGAGGAUGUAGUGUGCAAGCGGAGCUUUUGUCAAUUUAGGACGAGAACCUCAGAGUGGAGUAUAUGUCUUCAUACAUAUACUCAAGUUAUUGUUAUUCCGCUGCGAACACUGAUUAUGUUAAGAUAUUAUGUCAUUUGUCAAACAAUAUGUAUUAUUUAAUAAUGUACUAAAACCAUUGAGUACCCCGUUUUGGGAUAAUAUUAUGUACGGUCUCCUUGUGGCCUUCAUUGAUAUCUAGAUAUUUCGAUUGAUUUCUUUAUACAAGUCGAGUCAUCAAGAAGCUAAACAUGCCCCUUUUCUAAUCCCGCUCCUAAAUCCCCUCCCCUAGUCGCGGUUUUCCCGAAUUUGCUAUCCUUAGCAAGUGCGGUCGUGACAAUUCAACGUGGGAUAUAUGAAGAUAAAUGUAAAAAUGCCAUAUAGUGUAGAAUUGAGAAUGAGACAAAUAUUAAAUUGUGAGAGUGCUACAUAGGAUAUAGAAUAAUGAAGAGCUUUUCAAUAUGUAGCUCUUUAUAUGACGAUGAAGCGCAGUCUGUUGAUAAGACGUUUCUCUUCCAACCAAUAGAUCUGAGGUUCGAGCCACCCAGAAGGCCUCACUGUGAGUGUGUUGUUCCUUUUUUUGGGUGUAACAAUUUUUUAUUUAUAAGCCAGACCAAAUGAAAAUUUAUAGCCUGAACUGCCUAAGUGAUAAUUGUGGUGCCAUAAACCUAUAAUUAUUAGGAAAGAGUUGGAAUUGGUCCAUGUUUCAAUAAUUACAUGUAUUAUGGUUUCUCAAUCUUGAGUACGACUAUCUAAAUACUAACAUUGAACGAGUUUUCUUUAAUUUUAUUUUUCUCAAUCUUGAGCAUAAGUCGGACGAUGGACUACACUAGUUGUAACUUGUAACGUUAAAACUUUUCUUCAGCAUUUCUCAGAAUUUAAUCAUUAACCAAAAUUUCUCCCCUUCAAUAAUUUCACAUGAUCUCACCUGUUUUCCACCCCCACCAAUAAAUCUCACCUAUGGAGAUAAAUAAAGUUCAAGAAAUAUAUCAAUGAAUUGGAUGAAUUUCGUGAUCGAGUUCAAUACCAUCAUAAAUGUAGAUUUGUAUAUUAAUUAUUUUAUGUCGUCUCGUGAAAAUAUAAAUUACUUCAUGACAACUCGGUGUAUAUUUGUGAAGAUACAACGAUAUCAAAUACAGCGGUAGAGGUAGGUGUGUAAACAAACCAAGCCGCUCGCGAACUAUUCGGAGCUCGGCUCGAAAAAAACCUCGUUCAAGUUCGUUUAGAGAAGCUCGAUAAAUAAACAAACCAAACUUGAGCUUAGUAGUAUUCGGCUCGUUAGCUCGUGAACAUGUUCGUCAAGUGAUUCAGCUUGAAAAAUAUAAAUUAUUAGUAAAUACAACUUAUAUGUAUCCAUUAAAAUUAACAAUAAUUGUAUUGAAUCUCUAAUUAAUUUUAUUUGUCAUAAGAAAAUAAUUAAUAUAUUAUUAUUUUAAAUAAAAUAAUUUAUUUUUAAAAUAAAAUAAUCAAUAUUUUGAAUAUAAAUAUAUAAUUUGGAUUAUGGCUCGAUUAGGCUCUGAGCCGCUCGUGAGCCUCAAAGUAUUCGGUAAGUAAAGUUCGAGAUUCGAUUCGAUACUAAACAAACCAAACUUGAGCACACCACUAUUCGGUUCGGCUCGUUUCGAUUAUACCCCUAGGUAGAGGCAAAAAAAUUGUUGGAGAGAGCUUACCGUUCAAAUUUUCAAUUAUUAGGCGAAAAAUGGAUCAUAAAAAAAAGAAAUUUGAUUUGGGGAGUGGGGGUACAUCUUAAAUUUUGGUUUCCAAUAACUUAGGGAAAACAAAAGUUAUAGUUUUUUUUGUUUUUUUUAUUAUUUUUUUUUUAAUACAUAAGUAAAUAAAAAAAAUUAAAAACUAUGUGAUGGAGAACUUGAACCUAAGACCUCAAAUUUUAGGCAUUAACCUUCUACCUCUAGACCAACACAUACACAUAAUUAGAAUAUAAUUUACGUCUAAGAUAUGGGGCAUUUUUCCAAAAAGAACUUGAAUUUUUAUCAACUUUUAAAUACUUUAAACUUUAUAGAAAAUUGUAAUUUCAACCAGCGAUUGCGAAUUCGAUGUCUGAAGGCUAAACAAACAAAUAAGCUACCAACACGUAAGCAGGACCUCUAUACCACAUAAAAGUGAAAAAAUAACCGCACGCAGGUGAAGUCACUAUCCACACAAAGGUACAAUGAUGAAAGUGAGAAGAGGAGAAGAGGAGAAGAGGCCAAGAAAAACGCACGCACCAAGAACAGCUGUUCCGGCAGGAGAAGAAGAGUCAUGAGCGUGUCGACAAACAAAAUUAAGAGCAGAGAUACGUGCGAACGGGGCACAAAUUUCUCAAAAGAAUCUCACAAAAUAGAAGUGCACACAUAGUUAUAGUGGAAAGAUUACACCGCACGCAAAUGAAUUGAACAAAAAUCUUUUAAGUCUUUAAGUACCUCAAUUUUACUACUUAAUUAGACUUCAUUGACGAGAAGGUGAAAGACUUUUGCGAUUUCUCGCGUAGAAUAUCCAAUAUUUGACCAUCCAAAGUUGAUUCCGCGCGUGAAAUAAGUAGGUAUUAUUUCACCUUGAGAUUCUUGAAUGUUUCCAAUAAUUGAAACUUUAGAAAAGUUCAAACUUUGUAAACUAAAUUAAAGAAAGUUCAGAUUAUUUUGGAAAAAGACUCCAAAAAUUCGGGCCGUAACCAAAACUUAACCCAAAAUAUAAUAUCUUUGAAAAGGGGAUAAUUCUAUUCAUAACCUCCAUUUUACUCAGUAUAGUCCUCAUUUAUAAAGUGUAAUGAUAAUUAUAAUCAUUGAAUAAAUGUUAAAAUUAUUCGAUAAUGAAAAUUAACAUUAUGCAUUAUUAUUAGAGUUAAUUGCACCAAAUAUCACAAACUUUGUCCGAAUUUCAUUUUUCCCAUAAUUUUUUAAAAAAUUAUUUUUUAUCACAUAUUGAAUUAGUCGUUCAUUUUUCCCACGAUUUUUAGCUCCGGUGACCGGAAUAUAUAUUGAAUUAGAUGUGGCGCUGAUGUGGAUUUAAAUUUACACAUAACAUUCAUAUGGAAUAUAUAUUAAUUUAAAAUUACUCAAAUAACAAAAUCAUACAAUCGUCAGAGUGGAAGGUGUGUGGCGUGUGCCGGCGAGCCACAUCAGCGCCACGUCAGCUCCGAUCUGAGGGAAAAAAAUCGUGGGAAAAAUGAACGACUAAUUCAAUCUGUGAUAAAAAAUGAAUUUUUUUUAAAAUUAUGAGGAAAAUGGAAUUCAGGCAAAGUUGGUGAUAUUUGGUGCAAUUAACCAUUAUUAUUAUUAUUGUAGAAUAUUAUGCAUCACAAUAAAUAAAUAUUUAUUUCCAUAAACAUAAAUAAAAAGUUAUAAAAUUUAAACGAAGAAAGAAGAUAAAAUAUUUUAAAUUUUCACAACUUAUUUAUUUUAAAUUCAUUUUUGAUGAUUUUUAUACUAUAUUAAAUUUAAGAUACACAUUGAAUAUUUUUUUUAUGAAUUAAAUUUGACCAUGUUUAAAAAAAAGAAUUAAAUAUUAAAAAAAAUGACAAAAAAAUUGUUGGAUGAAGAGAGGGAAUAAAUGAAGGGGAAAAAACUCAUCUUUUAUAUAUUAUUUAAAAAAUGUUUGAUGUAAAUAAUUUAGAGAUUAUAGUCGAUAAGGUAUUUAGUUUGGGAGUGUGGAUUAUAGGGUAAGUUAAUAAAUUUAUAAUUAUUUAUUAUAAUUAUAAUUAUUAUAAAUAUUAUUAUUAUUUUAAAUGAGAUUUUAUAUUGAAUAAAAUAGAGCUAUGAAUAGAAUUAUAUUUGAGAAGGACAAUAUUGAGACUGAAAAUGCGGUCCAAUUCGUUUGGGUACCCAAACAAUUAUAUUAGAUUUGUGGGCCGAUUUAUGUAAGCUACGCGUCGCAGUAGCAAAAAGCUUACAGAAAGCCCGCGCGACCACUGUUUUUGAAAGCACCACAAAUUACAAAAUGCAAGCGGUCAACUCUAGAGAGAGAGCGCGAAAGAGAGGGAAAAUCAGUUAACUGUUAGAAGAGAUGACCAAUCGAUCACUACGGAAACUGCACUCUGCGUCGUCACGUAUAUUGUCGCAUGCAAUAUGCUUCAACUCUAUACGUCUGAUUUUUCUGCGACUUUUGAGCUCGACACGUGUGGCUAUGCCCUGCGUUUCCGCGGUUUUCAGGAUUCGAUAUUUGAGGAAAUUCUUAAGUUUUCUGAGAUAGAGUGGGAGAAUUAUGACCGAUGAGCUCGAGAAUUAACUCGGAUAGUCGUUGAUGUUGGUUGGUAUUGUAGGAUCAUCAGAGGAUUUUGAAUUCUGAGACUGUAAAUUUAUCGUCAUCUGAUUCUUCUUCCUUCCGUGUUGGUUAAAUUUUGAAUUUCUAGGGUAGGAUUGCGUAAAUUUAUGUAGAUAUAGAUCUGGAGUCGAAUUAGGGAAUGGUGGACAGUGUUUUUAUUGGAGGGUGGGUUGAUUGAAAGGUAGAGCGAUAUGGGCGGUGGUAUUAGAAUUAUUGUGAAGUAUGUUGUUGUCCUUGUUGAGCAAGCGUACAUUAUAUGAUGAUUCCAGGUAAAUUUCUAAUUAAUAUAAUUUGUAUUCUAUCUUUGCAAAUUCAAUAAAAUGAAGAUGUAUAUAUGAUAUACAAGCAUACGCAUGUGUGAUUCUCUGGGAGAUAAAAACAAUUGAAACUUUGGCAGGGAUUCCUAUGGAUUUACUGUGAGACCUCAACAUGCCCAUAGGUAUCGAGAGUAUUCCAAUAUCUAUAAGGUAAUCCCAUGCGUAUGUUAUUUAUCAUAUUUGGUGAAAUGGCAAUGUGACUCAGUUUCCCUUUUGUUUUUUGUGGCUUGUAGUUGAAUUCUUACAUUUUCUUAUUACAGAACCUGUGAAGUUGAUUUGUUAUUUAUCGUAUUUGUUUGAUAAACGCAAGAAAAAUCUGUAAGAUUAGUGGAGCAGAGUCACGCGUGCUCUACUAAAAUCAAUAACACGUAAAAUUCCAGGAAGAAGAAGAGGAGAGAUUGGCAAAAUGGAAGGGAUUUCUUGUGCAGCAAGAAGAGUCUACAAGGGCUAGUCAUGCUAAGGAAGAUGACACUGAACCUGUGGUUUCUGAGGUUGCAGAGCAGUCACGUGAUCUCGGUCAAACAGCAAGUGAGGAAAGGGAUGAUUCAGCUGAACAAUCUGCUGCCAUUUCUGAAGUUACUGCUGUUGAAAAGGUGAGCGGAGAUGAUGGAAAUUCUAGUGAAAAGAGGUCUGAGGGAAGUGUACCUCCCAAGGAAGCUCCAAGUAACCAAAAUAGAAAGCCCCGUGAGGUGAAAACAUGGGCUGAUAUUAGUCAAUCAUUAAAUUGCAUAGACCAUUUGAUGAGUUUAAGAAUAAAAAAGAAAGGAAGCGUGAAGCGUGAAUAUAAAAGAUGCGAAAAUAAUGACCUUCCAUCAAUAGACGAGGCAAGAUCAGAUAGUGGAGGAUCUGAAGACGACAAUGAGAGAAAUGAUAGUGCAGAUCUCCUACAGUAGAAACUAGUGCCAACGAUAAACUACCCCCAGAAACAAGUUUUCCUUGGAAAGAAGAACUAGCAGCCCUUGUUCGACUAGGAGUACCUAAGGAACUUAGAGGGGAGGUACUAUUACCCUUGCACCAAAUGUAAAGUUCUUGAAAAUACUUUUCCAGCUAUGAAGCUUCUUCAUGUGUUUGCACUUAAUUGGGCAGGUGUGGCAAGCAUUUGUUGGUGUUAGAACUCGCCGAGUGGAUGGAUAUUACCAAGAUUUGCUGGCUGUAGAAUGUGAUUCUAGUAGUGAUGGCAAAGAGCAUGAUAAAUCAGCAUAUGAAGGGAAGAAAGGAGAUUUGCCAGAAAAGUUGAAGAAGCAGAUUGAGAAGGUCGUUAGCUGCCUGGCUCCUGGACUUUAUCGUUCAAUCUUUUCGAUUCGUAGGUGCUACUUCUUUUAGGAUUCAUCUAGGAUGGUCUUCAAUUGCAAUACCCUGCCGGAUGGAUGCUUAAACUUUGGCGUAGAAUUCCAUCCAUUGUUGAACAUUUUUGUUCUUUCUCCAAAUUCUAUCCAACAAUGUGUUACUAAAGGCUAAUUUUCUUGUUCACUUGCUGCAGGAUCUGCCUCGAACAUUUCCUGGCCAUCCUGCAUUAAAUGAAAAUGGCAGGAACUCGUUACGGCGUGUGCUUUCAGCAUAUGCUCUACAUAACCCCUCAGUUGGGUAUUGUCAGGUGACUGCCUGCUGUAGGUGUUAUCUAAUUUUCUUCUUCUCCUCAUUCUAUAUUUUAAACUUUGGAGUCAAAUGACUAAGAAAAAAAGAUGGAAAAUCUUCACAGAGAGAUGGUAUGAGGUGAAGCAUGAACAUUGAGGAAGAAAUUAGAAAGCAAGAUAGUAAUUUGUUUUUUUAGCAAGCAAUGGUUUACAAACUAUACAUGUUAAAGGGUAAGUUUGUGAAUAGAAGAGACUGGAAAAAUUCUGUGUAUUAUAAUCUAUUAUAUGACNUUCAUACGGACAUAUAGACAACAGGUUGCUAUCAAUGAAUUUUAAAGCAGAUGGAAAAGUCACAAAUUAGGAAACUGGGAGACAAAUGUUAUUUGCAAUAAAUACUUCAGAUGGUUGCUUGAUAUAAUCUGGAUAUCAGCAAAAAAGUUGAGAAGAAAUGUUAGUGGUUCGAGAGCUUAGAUGAAAAAGAAAACAAGACCUGUAACAAGAUGGGAAAAUACAAGUUUGUAGUGAUAUACUUUAUAUACUUCAAUUUGCAUGAAUAAUAACAUCAAUUCUGGCAUCUGCAUUCUUGUUGUUUCUUAACUUUAAUAUUCAUUUCUUGCUCUCUGUUACUACCAUUACAAUUUCAGGCAAUGAAUUUUUUUGCUGGCUUAUUACUUCUGAUGAUGCCAGAGGAAAAUGCUUUCUGGUAACCUUCAAGCUUUUAUUUUUCAUCAUCCUGUUGGACGCAUGAACUCUGAUAACUUAAGGAGGGAGAAAAUCAGUCAUCAUCAUGUAGUGAUUUUCAGUAUUCCCUCUAGGAUGAUUUCUCCCUUUGUUAUUGUUGGAGUUACAUAACGUAUUUUAGUAGUAUUAGGUUUUGAUUAUGUUUCCUAGAAAAUUAUGGGAAAUAUAUUUGGGAGUAAUUUUCUGAAUAUUCAUCAACUCCAUAAAGAACCUAUUUAUAAUACAAGAGUCCUAACUAAACUAGGAAACAUAAUCAGAACCUAAUACUAAAUACCAUAUAUAACUCCAUCAGUUGUUGAGCAUAGAGUAAGUAUGGACAUCAUCUUAUGUUCCUGCUUGACAAGUCAGAACUAAAGUAAUUCAGUAAACCAAACAUUCAAAGUGUAUUUUGGCAGAAGCUGAUUUCCUUGCUACAAAACCAGUAAUAUUAUUGUUCUAUUGUUUUGAGAACAGUCACAAACCAUCACCAGUGUUCUUAUUGAGCUAUAUAUUCUUACACUGAAAUUGUUAUUAAAAAGAAUACUUUAGUUUCCAUGUCUGCAAGGAAUAAAUUAUUUACCCCAUAUUCUUCAUGAAAGAGGAUGGUCAGGAUCUGGAGCUCUUUGCAUCUUAUUAUUUUUGUAUCAGUUGAGUACAAAAUCAUUUCAUCAGAGACCACAGAUCGGAUAACUCUAUCAUGCACAUUCAUCUUUAAGCAAGAAAUUUCAUGCUAACGGAUACCUGUACUUCAGCAUGUGAAUGCAAAUUUUUGAAUUUAGAACAACAUAUACUCAUGCAGAAAAUAGUAGUUAAUGAGCUAAUAUUACCUUCUAAUCUCUCACAAACCUUUCAGGACAUUGGUGGGUAUAAUCGAUGAAUACUUUGAGGGUUAUUUCUCACUAGAAAUGAUAGAAUCCCAGGUUUGUGUCUCAACGAAUAUCAUUUCUGGAAAAGUGCUAUAUGCUCAUGUUAACAGAACCCUUAAAUUUUUAUUACUUAAUAGGUUGACCAGCUUGUUUUUGAGGACUUGAUGCGUGAAAGGUUCCCUAAACUAGGUUUGUCCUCUAUAAAAAGCCUUCAUCCUUUGGCUUUGUCACUCAUAUUAGAUAUACAAAGUCCCUCAUCUAAUCCAGUUGGCUGCAGUAAAUCAUCUUGAUUACCUGGGAGUUGAAGUGGCAUGGGUAUCUGGGCCUUGGUUCCUCUCAAUCUUUGUAAACACGCUUCCAUGGGAAAGUGGUGUGUGUUUUUGAUUGUUUUGCAUAACGGGCUGAAAUAUAUUUCUUUCCAACAUAGCUCAAAUUCUACACCAUCUUGCCCUAAUUUCAGUUCUUCGAGUGUGGGAUGUGAUCCUGUUUGAAGGAAACCGUGUCAUGCUCUUUCGAACUGCACUUGCUUUGAUGGAUUUAUAUGGUAAAUGCUACAUGUUUUCUGAAUAAUUUCAAGUGAGUCACAUUAAAUUAUCUUCCCUUUUGAUCUACAGGACCCGCUCUAGUUACAACGAAGGAUGCUGGAGAUGUUAUAACUUUAUUGCAAACACUUACUGGUUCCACAUUUGAUAGCAGCCAACUUGUCUUAACUGCUUGUAUGGGUUUCUUGACCAUUACUGAAGAUCGACUGCAGGAACUGAGACAGAAGCAUAGGCCAUCUGUAGUUUCGACUAUCAAAGAAAGAGCCAAAGGGUGUAAAAGUUUUAAAGAUCCUAAAGGUCUCGCAACUAAGUUAUACAGCUUCAAGCAUGAUCGUGGACCAAUAGUAAAAGAAAAUGAGACAGAAGCAGGCUUGAAUGAUAAUUCGGAUUUAGGUGAAAUUCCAAGUUUGGAUUCUCAUUCUGCCAGCCUGGAUGAGUUUCUUAAAGGCAUGACCAUUGAUUCCGAAGUAGAUUCACUUCCAGAUCUUCAGGAACAGGUAGUUUGUUAUCCAUUUGAGUAGCACCUACUUUUCUGCUGUUUUAGAGAAUUCAAAUGCACGUGGCUUUUCUUUUUUUGACUAAUCUAGGAACUGAGAUUGUCAUUAAUAUAAUCUCUCUGUUAGAAACUCACCUUUUUAGUGUAUUUUCUUUAGGUGGUUUGGUUAAAGGUUGAGCUCUGCAGAUUGCUAGAGGAAAAGAGAUCUGCUGUGCUCAGGUUAGACAAAUAGAGAGAGAUAAUUUGGGUUCCUAAACUGAAUUCUUGGUUUUAAAGUUUCAUUUUUUUCGAGUAAUAUAUUCCUUUUUCAUCAGUUUAUACUAUUCAAUCAGAGUUGAAGCUGAACGUUGAGGUGUUGGAUUGGAAUAAUUAUGUCAUUGUUAAGGCCACACAAUCGUUGCACGUUGGCACCAUUUUGUUUUUGACAUAUUUGUUAGAAAGUUUGAAUGUUUCCUUCAUACUUGGAGAGUUGUAUUGAUCUUCCAAGAAUCAAAGAUCAAUCACUAAUAUUCCAAUUUGGUGGUCACUUUCAAUGAUAAUCUAAAAUGUUAAUUUUCCUUCCCUAUUUUGAAAUUUCAGAAAAAUGUGUUUUAUCUUUUGUAGGUCUGAAGAAUUAGAAUCUGCAUUUAUGGAAAUGGUUCAAGAAGAUAAUCGAAUGGAACUAGCUGCAAAGGUUUUACAACUAUUUGUCCCUUGUUACGUAGUACAUAUGAAAAUCAUGAAGCAUUCAUUCAAUCGUGCUGUAUUUCUAGUUCAAUUCAAUUAUAACCAUGACAGAUGACACAGAUGGAUUUUCAAAGUACGCAUAUGAUUGUUCAAAAUUUUCUGCAGGUUGAGAAAUUGGAGAAGGAGGUUGCUGAACUACGGCAAGUUCUAGCUGAUAAGAAAGAAGGGGAGAAAGCAGUGCUUGAGGUCAUUUUCCCCACUUCUCUUUCAAACAUUUGCUACAGAGCUAAUAAUUAUCUUGUUAGUGUGCAUGUGUUGGCCUAACGGUAGGAGGUUUAAUGCCCAAGACCUGAGGUCCUGGGUUCGAGUCCUCCAUCGCGCGGUCUUUAAAAUUUUCUUUAUUUACUUAUGAAAUUUAUCAAAAAAAGAAAUAAAAAAAAUCAUCUUGUUAGAAUUAAUAGUUAUGAGUGCUCUUCCUUUUAAACGUUUUUGUAGGUUCUAUUGAAGGUUGAACAAGAACAGAGGGUAGCUGAAGAAGCUCGACGUUUUGCAGAACAAAAACUGCAAACUCUUCAGGUUCUAUACAACGUUCAAGUCUUUUGUUUUUAAUAGUACGCUUGUUUACUUUGAUGAUUCGUUUUGGUGGUAGAUAGUUUUAUUGAUAGAAUGAUGGAUAUAAUAGAAUCGAUUAAUAUGUCAUACUCUCUCCGUCCCAACGAAGAUGCUACAUAUUCUUUUUUGGGUCGUCCCAACGAAGAUGCUACAUUUCUAAAUAUGGAAAAAAUAAGGGAUUUUAAUUACAGAAUUACAACUAAUUAAUCACUCCCUUAUUACCUUCUUUCACCUACUUUAUCACUUUAUUACAUUUUCUCUCCUACUUUAUCACUUUUAUACUACAUACUUAAAACACUAAUUUACAACUCCUUAAAUCCCUUGCCGAAAAGAAAUGUAUCAUCUUGGCUGGGAUGGAGGGAGUAUUACUUAAAUACAUUACGAAGAAAGAGAUGCCUAAAUCAUAUCCCAUUUCUUAAAAUGGGGAUAUAUAUUAAUAUAUUAUCCUUUGUCACUCAAAACAAAUUUAUCAAGGGGCAUGAUUAUCCCGAUUUUAUAUGAAGAGAAGUAGAUGUUGGGACAAAAAUGGAAGGCCUCUCGUAAUACACUUUUAUCCACCAAAGUAAACAAGGCCUUAGGACUGUUUUUUUGCUUUGUUCUUCAUGACAAAAUCAAAUGAUACUUUUGUUAUAAUAUAAUAUAUAUGUGCACAGGAAAAGUAUGACAAGGCCAUGGCUGCCCUAGAUGAUAAGGAGAAGCGGGUUGUUAUGGCAGAGACAAUGCUAGAAGCAACAUUGCAGUAUGAAUCUGGGCAAAGUAAAGCCUCGUCUUCGCCUAAGUGAGUAAGCACCCUUCUUUAACUUCUUUUUCAAACUUCUCUAUAGAUCCAUUUCUGUUAACAACAACUUGCAUUAGUUUUAUCUGAAUUACGGCAAGAUUCAUCACCUUAUUCUCAAGUAGUUUGGAAAAGCUAAUGACUUCACGUUUAUACUAUUGUAGAAGUGUGUUACCUAUAACUUCUCUUACAUAUUUUUAAUUUCUAAGGAUAACUUUUUAAUUUAUAUAUAUAUUUAUUUGAUAUAAGGACCCUCCAAAAAAAAAUAUCUGAUAUAAGGGCGAAACAUGCAAUAUUUAAUAAAUUUGAUUUGCUUUACUUUUGUGAAUUAUCUUAGUAGUGUAAUAAUCAUAUUGCAGUUUUGCACAGAUUCACAUAAAUAAGUUGGUGUUGGUGAUGAUUUUUUGCAAUAGUGAAACAAGUCGUACAUAUAAGGACUUCUAUACUAGAAAGUAUGCUGAUUUCUCUGGUCCACGUUUCUAAACAAACUUUGUCCUAAUAAAGAUGUUGUGAUUAUUCUUUUUUUAAUUAUCUUCCUCUUUUUGUAUAAUUUAAUCUCAUUUUCUAACAUCAUACUUAAUUUUUCCUACUAGUUCAACAAAAAAGACUGGUCUACUCUCGUUUGGCCUUGGUUGGAGAAAGGUAAGUCUUAAGCUUCUUUCUCCAAAUAUUUUAUUUAUGUGCUGGUGUAGGUGUAAACAAUCAAAGUGUGUUGACAGGGGAAAGACGAUACUGACAAUAAUGUGCCUGAUGAUAGCGAUGGCCAUCAAGAAUAGAGAAGAAGAAAAUUACGAAAAACUUACUAUAGUGAAAUUUAUGUUGAUAGAAAUGAUGUACAUGACGAAAAUUGAAAGGGAUACGCUCAUACACUACAAUAGUCUUUUUACAUUCUUCUAGUUUGUAUGUGUACGAUGUGGUAAUAAACACUAGUUGUUUGGCAUUGUUAUUGAUUGCUUGCAUUUUUUAUCACAAUUUACAGCUACUAUUGGUUGGAGAAUAUGGAUGCUGCCUCUAAAUUCGUGUUUGUAUACGUAAGGAUAGAGAAAACUAUAUAUUAGAGUCAUCUCAUAAUUUUGUACAGACUUUUUUGUUUAAGGCAAAAACCGAACUUAUAUUUCACUUCAAAUCGAUAUGUACAAUAUCAAGAAGCCAAGACGGAAUUGACUUUCAAAUCAUUACAGUCCAAUAACACAAAGCAAAAUUCCAAGCGCAUGAGCUGCGCCAUUUGUUUCUCUUUGGGCAUGAAAAAAAAAUCAAGAAUCAAGUGCUUCCUAGCAUGCUUGAAAAUCUCCCAUAAAUCAUCACAUAGGGAAUCCGAUCCACGAUAAGUGUCGUGCAAGACAUGGAUAGCCAAAAGAGAAUCGGUAAAGAGAGUAAUCGGUCCAAAUCAUUUUCAAGACAGAAACCAAUGCCCAGAAUAGCGUGGAGCUCACCCAUGAGUAUCGUAGUAAAAAAUCCGACAGGCUUGCCCAAAUGGUUCCGGAUAGUCAACAUCGAGUCUAAGUAUGACAUAGAACCCGUGGUAGAAUAGCUCGAUUCUGAAUCAACAUCUGCGAUGAAGCUUCUUGAAAGUUAGGAAACAUCACCCCACUAUCCUCCCAAUUCAAUUUGUGAUCUCCACUCAGCUUUCCAUGUUUCAGCUCGCAUAGAUGCCUCAUUGAUUUGAUAAUAUACACAUACCAGAACUCAAUGGUCUUCCAAGCUUCAUGCACUCCAUCACAAAAAAUCAGACAAUGGACGCUAGAACCCCAGUCCUUUCGACACCACGAGCAAUCCCUCUACCAGACUCGUUCUCCUUUUCUUUUUUCUUUUUGUAAUGCACAAUUUGUAUUUAAAUCAUGGGUUAUUUGUUACAGUUAACACAAUAUUUACGGUUUUAUCCCCCUAUCCUAAUUUGCCAAGGUAAUGUUGCAAUAACAACUUACCUUUUGGAAUUUAACAUCUCUAAUUCCUUUAGCGAUAUCAUUUUAUAGAUGAAAAUGAUAUAGCACCAAACAUAAAUUUCAAUUCAGGAAAAUGAUUACAUCUUAUAUGAAUUCUCAAAUCUCUCAAUCUCCUUCAUUUGCAAUCAUUCCCAUUAUAUUUAGAAAAUGAUUACAUCUUGUGUUAAAUUCAAUAGUGCAUUCCGUGCACCACUAUGUGCUUAUAUGGCAUCAUCCCCGUUCUCAUUUCUAUUUAUUUUAAGUUCUCAUUAUAUAUAUUUUUAAUUUAUAUUUUUAACUUAUAUUUUAACUCUUGUUUAUUUGUAAAUGCCUCCAACAACAUAUGUAGGGCUGUAAACGAGCCGAGCCGAAUACUAGCAGGCUCGAGCUCGGCUCGUUUAAAUAUUCGGGUGUUCGAGCUCGCCUCGAGCUUGAUUCGAGCUUUUAUCUUGAUGAUCGAGCUCGGCUCGUCAUCCACUUACUAAGCUCGGGCUCGGUUUGAGUUCGGCUCGGGUGAUGCUCGAUAAUAUCGAAUUCGAGCUUGAGCUCGAGCUCGGCUCGUUAGAUGUUUGUAUAUAUGGUGUUCAAGCUUGAAUUUGUUAUAAAUUUAAGAAAAUCUUCUUAAUUAAUAUGUAACUAUGUUACACGAGUUCGAGUUCGACCCAUUUAAGGCUCGUGUACUAGCUCGAUUGAAGGCUCGACUGAAGGUUCGUGAACAAGCUCGCGAACAUGUUCGCGAACAAUCAAUUUCGAACAUGUUCGCGAGCUCAACGAGCUGAGCACUGUCAGGCUCGAGCUCGGCUCGAUAAAAAUUUCGAGCUCGAAAUUAGGCUCGAGCUCGGCUCGUUUAUUAUUGAAUCGAGUUCCGAACGAGCUUUUUUCGAGCCGAAUCUCGAAUAGCUUGCGAGUAGCUCUGUUCAUUUACAGCCCUAAACAUAUGUGCAUCAGAAUCUUCUGAGUACACCUUCAAGUCUCUAACGUAGUUCUUGAAAUUGGUGCUAGUACAACCAACUGCUUCGUAACUGCCUAAGAUCUCCUUGAACAUGCGAAAUGUACGCAUGGGGCCAAUAUUCGCCUUGAUGCUGGAGAUAAUGAAUAGUUGAUAGGGUUUACCAACUUUUCUGCUACUAAGCAUACGAUGUCGGGUGGGAGCACGAACCAUCAGAUGCGUGUGACCUUCAUUGAAAGUACAGAGCCUGUAACAUCCGCCACAUGCAAUUUGAAAGAUAGCUCUAGCACGACAAUCAACCCUGCAGGAUGUUGUCUUCCAUUUCUUAGACUUAGAAUUUUUAGGUGACAUAACUUGUUCAUCGACCUUCUCUUAUACUCCUUCUCUAUUACAUAAAAUAUACUUAGUUCAAAUGGUAUCAUCAUCCGCAUAUAUAAUGGUGCUCAUACGAACGGAAAACACAUGUAGUGGCAUAUUCCUUGUAAAAUGUAAUACCUUCAGGUAACAUAUCAAACAUCUGCCCAAUAUGAUUUUAACUAUUCCUCGCAUGCAAGGAAACAUAGUUGAUGUUCGGUCGUGUUUAUGAUGAUAUUAUCUAGAAAAAAAAUGAGAUUAAUAGAAUAAAAAUUCAUAGUUCACUAUGUAAACCGCAAAGUUCAAUAAAACGACAAUAAAAAAACGCAAAAUAUAAACAAUACAGUAACACAUUAUUAUUCUGUUUUGGUCUUGUGUUGAUAAAAUUCAAAAUGUUGUUCAAUAUGUUCACACGAAUAUAACUAAACAAUGAUUUAAAUAUGAACAAUGAAUUCUAAACCUCAACUGCGAUGUCGUGAAUCAUUAUUUUGAAAGAGUAAAUUAUUAGAGUUAAUCAUAUUAUUCAUGAUAUACAAUAUCAAUUUCAAGAAUUAGUGUUGGGCAACUAUGCAUCAUUCAUACAAAUUAUUUUAAGAACAUACAUGUAGGUUCCAUAGUAAUCAACAAGCGUUAUUCAGAAAAACCCUUAUAUGAAGGUCACUAAUGGGUUCGCGUGAAAAAUGAUGAACAUUUACGAGUCUACGACACAUACAAUACUUUGUUAAAGCUGUUAUUAAUGAUAUAAUAAUUACCUAACAUAUGAAGAUUAGAUAUGUGUGAUUAUAGGUGUGCUUCCCUUUAGAAUAAAAGUUCAAUUACCAAAGUAGCCUUUCGAGUUUAUUUGUUAAUUACAAUCAUAUUAAAUCUUGUUCAUCUGAUGAUAUCAUUUAUGUUGAAAAUAAAAAGAAAUAUCCUACUCUUAGUUUUGAUGAUCCCAAAACUCUUAAAUCUUAAUUUUACUAGACUAGAAUUCCUUUUGAACUUAGCUGUUGGAGUUCAUUUUUCUAGUGUAGACUAAAGACCGAAAUGACUGAAGACCAAAGCACUAAAGUCUUAAUGACUGAAGACCGAAGAACUGAAGUCUGAAGGACUUAAGCUACACUGUAUACCAUACUGAAGACUGAAGUCCACCUGAAUUAAAUGCUGAAUUCAAUAUAGGAUUUGUACUGAAGUAUAAGUGUUAGGAAAAAACUUCAGUACACCUGAUCACUCAAGAGCAUUCAAUGCAACUGAAUGGAAUACAUCGAAUAGAAACCUCAAACUGAUAGUGCAGAUACGGACUGAAGCUGGAGUAAUGUAUAACACACUCAGUGUUAACGAAUGACAACUUGAAUACUUCCAGUACACGCCGCAUUUAAUGCAAAGGACGGUGCAUUCAAUGUAAAGAUAUGGUGAAUUGUCCUUCACCCUGCAGAGUUUUUCUUUCUGUGUUACCUUACACUGUAACACCAUCUCCUAAUUUAGAAAGACCAUACCUCUUUCGGCGUAAAGGAGAUAGAGGACGAAGACUUGAGCCAUAUUUGAAUUGACAAGUCAAACGGCAUAUAGGAUUGAAUGAUCCCCUCCAACGGAUCUAUUCCUCCUCAUUCGCCUAUAAAUAGAGCUCAAGAUUCAACCUUCGACCUAACCGAUUCAAGAACAUACGCUGAAGCUCUGCCACAUUCAAGACUCAGCUUAUACUUAGCCAAAACACUUAAAUCGAAUAAGAGAAUUUCUAUUGUCAAAUAUCAGUUCAUCUGAUAUACAAACAUUCUCUUAGAAGCUUCUAGGCACAUAUUCAUCAUCCUUAGCCUAAUUUCGAUUAUGCGAGAGCCUGUUCUCAAUAAUCUUUAGUUGGAGAUCUGAACCUUUUUCUACCAGAGUGAGAAGAGCGUUUGAGAUAGAGAGAGAGUUCGAGACAGUUUUCUGAACUCAGAGAAUCUUAACCUCCGCAAUCUAGACGUGUGUUGUCUUAGCAACUGCGAGUUAAGAAAGAGAAAAGUCCAACCCAGUGUGUUGGCUCUGAAACUUGAGUUUCAGAAGCAAGGUUUGCUGUGCACCCGCAAGCACAAGCCCAGUGAUUUGUCAGUGUGAUCAACUGACCGUGAACGUAGGAAAUUAUUUUUCGAACCACGUAAAACUCUUUGUGUUCUUAUUGCUUUCAGUAUUUAAUUUUCUUAUAUUUGUGCACAAAUUAUUAUUCAUACUGAACCCGAUAAAGUGAAAAGAGAAACCUAAGAACUGACAAAAUGAUUCACUUAAAGGAUAUUUCAUAAAAUCGUUUUCGCUCCUAGUGUUAUCAGUCUAACUAACAAAUCUUCGGAUAGUUAGUAAGAUUUCUAACACUUCUCUGAUUGUUUAAAAUUGAUUAGAUUAAAACCCUAAGUGAACUAUCAGUGUGUCGACAAGUUCUUCGCACUGAAGUUAAAAUAUUGCACCAAUAUCAGUAUCAGUCUACGCUUGUUCUUAACUGAUCUAAUUUUACAUUGAACACUUCAGUAUCAGUUUCGAUACUAACUUCAGUUUUCGCAAAAGAAGUUUUAAAAAUAGCCUACUGGUGUAUUCCCCACCCCAUACACCAGUUCAGUAACCCUACGGGACUCAACAAUUUAAAUUGAUGAGAUCUAUUCUCAAUUCUAUAAAUAUUUGCAUUUCUCAAUUGAACAUUCGUGCGGUCGCGUGAUUUAUUCGAUAAAUUUAUUGACUUAUUCAGUCUGAAAUAUAGUUACUUCUUCAUAGAUCCCGACCCUAUAUAUGCUCGCGUGAUUUAUUCAGUAAAUGUAUUGAGUUAUUCAGCCUUCGUUGUUUCCUUCUACAUUUAGCAUUCUUCAUUGAUCCCCUGCCCUAUAUAUAUAUAUAUAUAUAUAUAUAGAGAGAGAGAGAGAGAGAGAGAGAGAGAGAGAANNNNNNNNNNNNNNNNNNNNNNNNNNNNNNNNNNNNNNNNNNNNNNNNNNNNNNNNNNNNNNNNNNNNNNNNNNNNNNNNNNNNNNNNNNNNNNNNNNNNNNNNNNNNNNNNNNNNNNNNNNNNNNNNNNNNNNNNNNNNNNNNNNNNNNNNNNNNNNNNNNNNNNNNNNNNNNNNNNNNNNNNNNNNNNNNNNNNNNNNNNNNNNNNNNNNNNNNNNNNNNNNNNNNNNNNNNNNNNNNNNNNNNNNNNNNNNNNNNNNNNNNNNNNNNNNNNNNNNNNNNNNNNNNNNNNNNNNNNNNNNNNNNNNNNNNNNNNNNNNNNNNNNNNNNNNNNNNNNNNNNNNNNNNNNNNNNNNNNNNNNNNNNNNNNNNNNNNNNNNNNNNNNNNNNNNNNNNNNNNNNNNNNNNNNNNNNNNNNNNNNNNNNNNNNNNNNNNNNNNNNNNNNNNNNNNNNNNNNNNNNNNNNNNNNNNNNNNNNNNNNNNNNNNNNNNNNNNNNNNNNNNNNNNNNNNNNNNNNNNNNNNNNNNNNNNNNNNNNNNNNNNNNNNNNNNNNNNNNNNNNNNNNNNNNNNNNNNNNNNNNNNNNNNNNNNNNNNNNNNNNNNNNNNNNNNNNNNNNNNNNNNNNNNNNNNNNNNNNNNNNNNNNNNNNNNNNNNNNNNNNNNNNNNNNNNNNNNNNNNNNNNNNNNNNNNNNNNNNNNNNNNNNNNNNNNNNNNNNNNNNNNNNNNNNNNNNNNNNNNNNNNNNNNNNNNNNNNNNNNNNNNNNNNNNNNNAUCUCAUCGAUAAGAUGUGCACAACAUAUUAUUAAAAAUACAAUGGUGACACUAACUCAAAUGACCCUAUUUUUCAAUUAUCCUUUGCGUGGGAUUAUGGACUGAAGAUAUACAGAUUGUCAUUAAAAAUCGACUACAUGAUUAAUCGCACCUGAUAUGCAAUCCUUCAAAUUAAUCCAAUCAUGCAGCGUCUAGUUCAUGCGCAAUUAUAUAUGCAACCUCUUACUUAAUUUGUUACGACAUCGUGCACAUUAUGAAAGUUUCCAAUUAAAUUGGAGAGUAUAUAUUAGUUUUAUAUAUAAAUAUAUAUGGUUAGGUUCUAGUGAGAUUGAUAUUUUUCGUGAAAAGUGAGAAUAAUGAAUAAGAGUAUAUAGUGUUGAAUAACAAUAUUAAAAAAUUAGUAAAAAUUUUGGCUCCUUCAAUGAUUCAAACCCAUAAUUUAUUCCUCUCUAUGUAAAUAUCAGUCAUAUGAUACAUUAAAUUAACACCCACAAAUCAAUCUACAUAAAUUAUCAAAUGCAUGAAAUUUGAGGCAAGUACAUAAAUUAUCAAAUAUAUGUUCAGACUUUACACUGUUCGCAAUUUUAUCUUAGUUUCAUUUUCGGACAAAACUAAAAUUGACUUCGAAAAAAUAAUUGCAUUAUAACUUGAUGAAAAACGUAAAAUAACGCCACUACUGACAUGUGUUAAACAAAAUUAAGGCGUAUUGGUAUGCAGAGCGGUGCGUUCAAUUUACGAACAAUGUAAAAUUUACAUACAUAUUUAAGAAAAAAAAUAGAAAUCGCGUGUAAAACUAAAUCUGGGUAAAAUACGCAUAUUUUAAACCAAUUUGCCCCUAAAUAUGUUAUUCAAAUUUCAAACUUUUGGUUUAAUUUAUUUAUUUUAUAAUGAUGAGACAGUUAUUUGUGUGUGUUUAGAAUAAUUUCCUACACAGUUGUAGUUUAAUUUGUCGAUAUUCGUAAUGAGCCAAGUUGGAGUUCUUCCAUUUCCAAUGAUUUUCAAGGGAUGAUAAAUUAAUGCCCAAUAAUUUUCAUUAUAUUUGGGAUAAAGAGAUGAGAAUUUGCAAGUAUAACGAGAUUGUUGCACUGGCAAUUUUGCACACCACAUGAGUCUUGAUAUUUUUUCAUAUCAGUUUCUGAUUGUUCUCAAAAGUCUUGGUUAUUGAUUGGUCACCUCAAAUCAUGGCAGAUUCUUUUCUUUUCUUUUUUCUUUUUCCCCUUAUUAAAUUUGGUUUGAUUUCGAAGAAUGCACAAACUUUGAGACAUUUGUGUACAUUGUCAUUGACUAACAUUUUUAACUUUUUUGCAAUUUUAAUUCAGAAUUGUAGAAUAUAGAAUUUUGCGUGUGUUCGUAACCUUGCAUGGCGUUGGACCAUGCUGUCCCUCGUUGCGUAUAUAAUAUUCCAUCGGUCCCACUUCAAUAAUCUUAUUUUUCUUUUCGGAACGUCCCACUUUAAUAAUCAUAUUUUUAUUUUUGAUAAUGAUUUUACACUACAAAUAAUGUGGUCUCAUAUACCUUUACUCAUUUUUACACUCAAAAAUCAAAUUUCUUAAUCUUCGUGUUAAAAUAAAAUGAGACUAUUGGACCGAGAUGGAGGGAGUAUAUACUAUCAUGAAAUACUUUUUUUAUUUUUUGAGGAAACUAUCAUGAAAUUCUUAAGGUGCUAGCAAUGGUAGCUUUUUUUGCUAUAAAAAAGUUGAAGAGUAACUUUUUCACCAAUGCAUGAUGAUGAUGUUGCAAAAAAUACAAAUUCAACUUCCAAUUUUAGGACCCAGCUUAGCACAAAUUUCAAAGUUUGAAGGAGACGUAAUUCAUAAAAUUGUUUAAAAUCUUUUAUACUCCUUUAUGACAUUUUUCCUUUUUUUGUUCUUUUUAUUGAUUUCUUUUUAAAUUUUUUUUAGUAUUCAAUUAUUUUUAAAAUUUAGGAUUCAUAAAAUUGUUUAAAAUUUUGACCAAGCUUGAAGGAGACGUAAUUCAUAAAAUUGUUAAAAUUUUAGGACAUAAUUUUAUUUUUUAAAUACAUUCAAUUUAAUAUUAAAUAAAUAAAAUAAAUAAAUUGAAUAUAUAAAUGAAUAUAUAAAUAUAUUGUAAUAUGAUGGGACUCGUGCAAAAGUUGCUUUUCUAGGUUCAUUGUUGCAUAGAUAAGUUUAUAAAAGUUUGUGGAAUUAAUUUUUUGAUGUGACGUUGUUAAAGUUACAUAUGUUCUUGAAAACUACUCCUUCAUUCCAUAAAAAAAAUAGUCACAUUUGAGGAUGAACACCGAUAUUAAUAAAAUUAUUAAAGUAAGUGUAAUUAGUGGAAUAAAGCCAUAUAUAAAGGUAUAUUUGUAAGAGUAGUGUUAAUGAUAAUUUUAAUUAUUUAAUCCUUCAUUAAUGACUAUUGAUGAGGAGUAAUAUAUGCAAAGCAGAGAAGUGGUAUAAGCCAGAGGAGCGGGCUUCAUCAGAGAAACGGGCUUCCGCAGAGAGGUCAGAGGGAUGGGCCUUGCCAGAGGAAUGGUCUGCACCAGAGAAGUCAUUCUCGCCAGAGAAAUGGUCUUCGCCAGAGGAAUCACCUAAAGAGCGGGAAAUUCUCCCGCUUGAGGGCAAAAUUACUACUAUACCCCCGACCACGCGAGACGCAUGUUCCAGCAAUGAAGUUACUAUUCUACCCUUAACGUGUAAUCUAUAAAUCGCCAUGAGCAUAUACCUUGUAGACUUACGCUUACUUCACUUAUAAUACAACAGCAACCCGAUUCUCGUGCUCUCAAUUUUGCUCUUCUCUCUCGCUUUUACAAACAACACUAGGUAUAAUUCGUAAUCCGAUAAUAAGUCACCGAUUAAAUCUAUAUCCGUUCAAUAUCCGUUCAAAUCUAAUUCACCAACUAUGUUGGAUGAAUUCAUAAUUCUGAGUUGGAAUUUCAUAAAUAACGAAAAUUUAAUUUGUUGAUAAAGCGCUUCCCUUUUAAUUAAUAAAUUGAAGAUUCAAGUUAUUUAAAUUACUAGAGUAUGAAGGUUUUUUUUUNNNNNNNNNNNNNNNNNNNNNNNNNNNNNNNNNNNNNNNNNNNNNNNNNNNNNNNNNNNNNNNNNNNNNNNNNNNNNNNNNNNNNNNNNNNNNNNNNNNNNNNNNNNNNNNNNNNNNNNNNNNNNNNNNNNNNNNNNNNNNNNNNNNNNNNNNNNNNNNNGAUGUCACAAUGUAAUUUAUAUUCCAUUUUUUUAAAUGACAUAGAAAAAACGACUUCGUUUCGUACCAUAUUCUAUUGUGUUUAUCCCUAAUUUUAAGUUACUAGCGUGAAUUUCAAACACGAUGGGAGUGAAUUUUAAAUUUCAGAGUAGAUUUUUUUUUAAAUGAUAUGAUACGAAACGACGUCGUUUUUGCCAUUGCAUUUUAAAAAAAUAGAAUAUAAAUUACAUUGUGGCAUCCGGCGAGCCACAUCACGUUUUUGGUGACCAAAAAAUAAAUACGGGAUAUAUUUGAUAAAAACUUGAUGGUUUGAGGGUUUAGAGAACAUUUUGAAAGUUUCAAGGUAUUUUUGAUAAAUCGAAUAUAUUUCAGGGAUUUUCAUGAUAUUUAUCCAAGAUUUUUGGAUAAUAUUUUAAACGAAUUAUUGGUUUUAGUCGGUACGUAUUAAUUCUAGCUUCAUAGUGAGUAACAUGUUCUAUUUUAAGUAUGGCCCAUAAUUCUUGGAUUUGAGUUGUGAAUUUCAUUAUUGUAUGCACGGUGACAUUCAUUUGGGAGGAUAAAGAGUCCAGCUGUACCUUUUUAUUUAAUCGAUUGAAUUUUUAUUAUUUUUACAAGGUCUAUUUUCUUUUCCAUACCACGAGCGUGACCUUCUGGAUUUGUGGAAGUGACUGACAUUUUUUUUUGAUAGAUUAAUAAUAUUAAAUAAAAAAAUUUAAAGAUCGCGUCACAAGAAACUCAAAAUCAAAAUCUUUGGCCUUGAGCAUUAAUCUCUUGCCGCUUGACUAACACACGCACACAAAAGUGAUCAACAUUAGAAUAAUUUAGUUGUCACGCUUCAGAAAUAAUUCAUGAUUACUUAAAAAAUGAAAUGUUUGUUGACAAUUUUUUUAACCAACCGCACGCACGAGCAUUGUCCUGUAGUUUAGGGAAGACAAAAUCCACUUAUUCUACGUUUUCUAUAUUUGGAUCCGAUUUAAAAUUUAAUGUAAACUUUAAAAAUAUUUAAAUUUAAACAGUUAAACUUUUAAAUAUUCGAUUUUUGUCCCAAUAUAUUAGCGUUUUAAUGAAAAUGUCACACUUUUAGGAUAAGUGCUUAGAAGCGCUCAUCGUAUUAAUUUUCGAUUAUUUGUGUCCCGAACAAAAAAUAAAAAAAAAUUGGCGCCUAAAUAUUGACGUGGAAUGCUGAGAAUCUAAAUUGGCAAUUAACGUUGAAAUUAUGUUCGAAAAAAAAAUGUAAGGAGAGAUAAGAGACUCCGCGUUAAUCCAAAUCUAGAGCUCAGGGGGAGACUUCCUGUAGAUGACGAAAAUGGCGACUCUACUUGCUGUUGUUGUUGUUCGAAUCGUGAAAGGACGAAAGCGGCGGCCUUCGUCGAAAUUUUCACGUAAUUUGUCAAUUUGGAUUCUCGGUGUUCCACAUCAACACUCAGGCGCUGAUUUUUUUUUUUGGCACAAAUAACGAAAAUCGAUACGAUGGAUACUUCGAUGCACUUAUCCUAAAGGUGUGAUAUUUUCGUUACACACUACUACGUUGGGACGAAAUAGAAUAUUUAUACAACUAAAAAUUACUAUUAGCAUGAAAAGAAUCAAAAUUUACCACACUUAUCAUGUUACUCUUUAGAUAAAAAAUUUAAAAAUUAUCCUUCUUCAAUUCACAUUCACCGUAAUUCUCAUCCCUACAACUAGAUUUGUUGCAGCUUCGCCGCCUCAGGUUUUGACACUCCCCCGCCGUGUCGCAACAUGCAAUUGAGAAUCGAAGCCGCACCUCAUCCUUCUAUUGUAAGUCACAGCACAUAAAUCUCACACAAAUUCCUAGAUCUGUCGACACGCCACCGCCUUAGGUUCUGAGUCUUAGCCUAGUCGUCACCUCCGGUUCUGAGAAAUUGUUCUAGAAUUCACAGCUAAAUAACUAAUGUUGGUUGUGAAUUUUAGUUCUAUAGCUAGAAUUCACAUAGUCUUGAUUGUAAAUAUGAGUUUUAAAACUAGAAUUCAAAACUAAGAAUAUUAAUACUGGUUGUGAAUUCACAGCUAGGAAUAGUCGCAUUCACCUAUGUUGCCCUGAAAGUCAGUGUUGUAGCCAUCUACGGUUACGGCGGUGCAAAUGCAAAAAUAAGAAUUUUCACCUACUGUUCGACAAAAAAUGAUUCAAGGAAGAAAUUUUUGGAAUUUGAGUGUUGGUUUAGCAAAGUAUGUGAUUUUGUAUAUUAAGUGUUGUUUGUUUAUCGAUUAUCAAUCGAUAUCCGUAUUUAACAUUUAAAAUAUUUUUAUUUUAUAAUUAAAUGUGAUUUAGUCGAAUUUGUAUUGUUAUUAUUCUAAAUGUCAUAACUAGUUCUAAAUUCAUGAUAAUACUAAAUAAAUUGUGAAUUCGCAUAUUAAAACUAAAAUUCACAAUUCGAUAUUAGUAGUGAAUUUGAGUUUUCCGCAGCGCUGCUAGUUUUAUUAACCCAAACUUCACCUAUUAAAUUUCGGUACCGCUGACCCAACCUAUUAUCAUCCCUACUAUCCUAAUCUCUUUUAUUGGGUGAUGCCAACACAUUUGGCGAUUUAUUUCCUUAAUCAGCAUCUAUUUUGUACUCCAUCCGUCCACCAAUUAAAGGCCUCUAUGAAAAAACACGGGUUUUAAGAAAAAGUGUAUUUUUAUUAGUUGAGUGGAGAAAGAGUCUCACUUUUUAAGAAAAAGUGUAUUUUUAUUAGUUGAGUGGAGAAAUGGUCCCACUUUUUUUGUAAAAAAUCUUUGACUUUUUUGAUUAAAUAAUGAAUAAAAACUUACCAAAAAUAGGUAGGCCUUGUUUUUAUGGACGGACCAAAAAGGCAAGUAGGCCUUGAAUUGGUGGACGGAGGGAGUAUUUAACUUGUCCUGGCAAUUAUUUGACUAAUUAAGUUUGUUUAACUAAUAAUUAUAGUUGGUAAAAUAAUGGUUAACAAUAGAUAUCAGAUAUGUUUUGUGAACAAUCAAAUAUUUAGUUAUACAAUAAGAUUGUUGACUCAAAAGACUUGAUGCAUGAGCUGGGUUAUUUAUAUAUUUUGUGAGAGCUUGAGCUUAAUUAAGCAACAAUCUCGAUCAUCUGAAACCUAACUGAUAAUAUGAUUUGCUUUAACAAUUACUCCCUCUCUUUUUUAUAAGUGUCCCAUUUAACUCAAUUUUUUUUUGAUAAAUUUACAAUAUUAGAUAAAGAAAUUAAAUGGUCGCGUCACAGGGGACUCGAACCCAAGAGCUUUGACCUUAGGCAACUCAUUUAACUCAUUUUUUUGUUUCUCAAUAAGUGUUCCAUUUCAAAAUUUGAGAGUAUAUUUAUGACAUUUUUCCUAUUUUAUCCUUAUUUAAUACUUGUAUGAAUAUAAUAAUUAGUUGUAUAUAUGCAUUUAUUAUGAUAAUUACUAAGGUUACAAAUGUAAAAUAUCUUAUUUUAUUGGUAUGUGUAUUUUCACGACUGUGGACAUUUAAUAAAAAACGAAGGGAGUAUAAAUUAAUAACUAAGAAUUUAUUGACAAUAAAUAGUACCGAGUGCAACAGUGCAAGUCUCAACAAGUCCUGAAUUCCAAUUACUAGUCAUUAUUUAUUUCACAUAAGAACCUUGGAAAUCAUUGUAAAUAUUUUAUUUUUUGACGCAUAUAUCCCUUUAUCUUAAGCCUCUCCUUUUUCCAUUUUGGGCUUAUUUAUCUAAAACGAGGGUCUUUUAGAUACAAAUUAACCCAAAUGGCUUUAUCCCAAAUGCCGUUUGAAACAUCGUUCCGAUUAAAAUUUGUAAAAAAAAUGGCUUGGCUAUUAAAUGAGAUUUUAGAUCGAUCUUGUUGAAUUUGGGCCGCCUAAUAUGAUUUGGCUCUCGUCUAAUCUUACGACUAUUGUAUGUAAUUUUAUUCAGCGAGUACCAAUGAAUAGCGGCCUGAUUAGGGAUUGAUGAAUUUAAGGUACGUUCAAUUAAUAAAAUGAGAUAAAUAAAAUUGAUAUGAUAUAUUAAUUUUAAAAAAAUCAUAAGAAAUACUAAUAUGAUUGGUAGAUGAUUAAAUAAUAGAUCAAUUUUGAAGCAAAUAAUCAUCAAAUUAUAAUCAAUGCAAACUGAAAACGUCUCCUAAUUAUUUACAUUUACGAUGGAUACACUGUACAUUCGGAUGCGCACACAUUUUGCCUUGAUUACAAAUAUUUUAAGACAAUAAUUUCACAAAACUUUUAUGUCACGGAAUUUUCAUAGUCCAUCGACUCCAUCCGUUUUUGUUUUUAUGUGUCCAAUUUUGAUUUUUUUUUCUUGUUUUUUUAAUAAGUGUCUCAUUUCAAAAUUUAACAGUAAAAUUAGGCCAUCUAUAGGGGCGAGGACGCCGGCCCGGGCCAGGCGCUGCCCCCCCCCCCUCCCCCCGCGCCGGGCGCAGAACGAGUUUGUAUGGGACGCGUGUUUCACACGCCCCCAUUUUCUGAAAUUUCGACAAUUUAAAAAUAAAAAUAAAAAUAAAAUUUGAAUUGUAAACGGACAUAUUGGCAGAGAGCCGUUGCAAUUUUUUUUUCUUCUACCUAUUUCUAUAAAUUGCCCUCUCUUUUUAUUCACUUUCACGUCCCUUUCUCGUUCAUCAUCAUCAUCAUCUUCUUCUUCUUCUUGUUUAUUUCCUUUUUUUUUUUGCAAGAAAUCAUGGAUGAGAGUUGGGCUAAACAUUAGAGCAAUCACUCCCAAAAUUCCAAUUCCGGCAAUCCAAAUUCACCCGGUGAUACGUUCUCGCCAUUCUCUCAAUCUUCAAAUGCUUUUGAAACGGCGAGUCUCGAAGGAAUAAAUUUGAACGCCCAAUUUGCAGUGACGGCCGAACCCGAAGUGGAGGAGAUAGCCACAAUGCCACCCUCUACCAAACAAAGAGGCGGCUACACCCCAACGGAGACGACAUUGGUGUGUCAUUUGUAUGCGGAGGCCACAUGCGACUCGAUCAGAGGCGCUAACCAAAAAGGAGCAAGCUAUUGGGAGCGAUAUCCGCGAGAAAUACAAUGCUCAACAGCCCUCGGACACGAUCGAACGCGAUGUGAGGCAAAUAAUGUCUCACUUUCAACGCGUCCAAAAGGAUGUGAAGUUGUGGGAAGCCAUCUACGAGAAGUGCCGAGCAAGUUCGGCAUCCGGCAUGAGCGACGACCAAAUCACCACCAAAGCAACAGAGAUAUAUGUUGUCGGGCACGGGAGUGUUUUCAAGUAUCCAUAUGCGUGGCAAGUGCUUCGCGAAUGUCAAAAAUACGCAUCGAUUGGCGAGGAUAUUCACUCCUCCAGACAGUCCAAGGGCUCGGAUGGUCGCCAUACUUCCACCUCUAGCCAGCCAAGUAUCUCAACACGGCCUUAAGGCCAAAAGGCGGUGAAGAAAGACAAAGGCAAGAAGAAGGCGAAGUCGUCCGACGACCAAACUCGGGCAUGCGAGGCCAUGGAGAACAUGGUCAAUGUUAUGAACAUCUUCUCCCAAGCCCAACGCGACCUCGCCGACUCGAUCAUCAUAUCUUUUUUUAUGCUUUUUUAAAUUGAAGUAAUCUAGGAUUUAUUUUAUUGUAAUGCAAUUUUCAAUUUCAAUCAAUGUAGAAUUAAAUUUUUAAUUUAAAUGAAAUUAUGCUUUUAAAUAUAGUGUUUUAGAAUUAAUAGAAAACAAAUAUUAAAAUUAAAUCUAAAUUAAAACAUAAAUUUAAGAGCCAAGGGGGUUGGCUCACCAAUUUGGGGUGUUGGCUCACAAUUAGUGGGGACCACUUUUAAGAGUCAAUGUUGGCUCUCCACUGUGGAUGCCCUUAGGCAUUCUUUCCGUUUACCUUUCUUUUAUUAGAACAAAGAUAAGGCCCUUAAAAAGAAAAAAAUAAAUAAAAAUGCAAAUGUAAAUUUCCCUACUUGUUUUAUUUUUAUUCUCAGAAAAAAAAAUCCCUACUUUUUGUAUAAGUAAUUUAGUGGUUUGGAAGUUGGAACAUUAAAAACCCAGAACUAAUUAGAUUUUACCCUAUAAAAUGUUAUCAAGGGCCAAGGCCGGAUCUAGGUAUCUACUUUGCUCUUGUAAUUCCGAUACCUGGUCCAUCCCUAAAAGCCCAUCUCGAUCCUCAAGUUCCAUAAAUGUUACACAAAAAAAAAAAAUAAUAAUAAAUUAUAUAGAAUUUUUUUAUUUUACAAAAUUUGAUUUGACAUCAUAUAUAAUAUGUAUAUAAGGUGUAUUAAUUGGAACUCUAGUACAUGUGGGAUUGAAACGUGCCAAAUCAGUUUAUCAAUGAUCAUAAAAUUUGGAAAAAAGUGGAAUUUACUACAAAUCAAAAGGUUAAGACGUGAUUGUAAAUAUCUUAAAAGAUAGGUGAAAUUAAUUCGCAACAAGGCUGAAGGUUAGGACUUAUUAAGCAAUUUACCAUUCUUAACUGUGUAUCUAAUAUAUUAACUAUCAUCAGUUCCAUUAAUUAAUUUAUAUAUGUUGAUCGACAAUACCACUAGUUCCUAGGUGACCAGGUCAUUAUUAGUGACAAUUAUUGUAUACAAAUACUGUUUGAUCUAUUAAAGUAGAUACAUAUGCAAAUGGUAACACAAAGUGGUGCAGAGUAGGGAUGUCAGUGGGUGGAUAUUACCCGGACCAGAACCAGAACCGCUCAUUACCCGUUGAGCUAUAAAGCAACGGUUCUGGUUCUGGUUCUAGACCCGACCCAUUUAGACCCAAAACCUGACGGGUCAGAUCCGAUCCGACCCGUUUGUUAUGGGUCCGGUCCGACCCGACAUGUUUUGCCGCUAGCCCACCACCACCCACCCCCCACGCCCACCCCAUCCACCCCACCUGUCACACCCCAAUUCUUGAAUAAAUAAAUAUAAUCGAGGUGCAACUAAUUCAUAGAAAUAAACAAGGAACAACCUUGUAAAAACCCGAAAUAGGAUAGAAAGUCGGGCUAUGCCCCUUUGGAUCACAAGUUUUGUUUCAUGCUUCUGACAACCGACAUUCAUUGGCAUAAAUUUAGUAGUGAAGAGUCUAAGCUUGGUCAGGUAUAUCAUUUGAAAUUUAACAUGAAGAUCUUAAGUUGGGAAAACAAAAGACUGAUAUGAGUAAUUGCUACAGCGGAAGUCUAACAUAUGAAUUUUAACUCUAGCCUCAGCUCCGUCCCGUCAGCACCAGCCAGCCAACCUGAAAACAUUUGAAAGUAUUUUUGGGCUAAGUACUAAUGUACUUAGUGGGCAUGCAUUUUCAUAAACAUUUCAUAUUUUCGUAAGAGCAGUUUAUCCAAUUAUACUUGACAUGACUUAGAAGGUUUUAAAAUGAAAUAAGUACUUCUAAGCAUGUUAAAACAUUUUUCAUUUGUGCGCACAUGUCACACUCCCUUUCCGUUACUCGCUGUGAUCCCGGACCUUUUAGCCACCGACGGAUCCAUUACUCCCGCUUUACUUGAACUGAGGGCGUAACCCAGUCAAGUUCCCAUUUGGGACCCAAUGCUCCGGAACACAUCCCGUCGAGCACCCUUAUAACGCCUCAUACAUGAUUAGUGCCCGAUGGAGAUCAACCCACCGAGUCAGCUAAUAGGUGUACACAAUUCUCAAAUAACGUGUUAGGUCAAGAGAGAACCUCGAUCGAUUCAUUGUUGCGAGCCUUAAACAGAGCAGAGUGCACAAAAUAUUUUAUUGGAUAAACAGUUUUCAUUACAUUAAAUAAACAAUUUGCAUUUCAUUGAAACAUUUAGAGCUUAAUAACUCAAUCAUACUUUGUACAUUUGGAAAGUAAGCCCACCUGGUUAGGCAAAGCCUGAAGAUCAUAAUCACUUAUAAACCUGUCUUGGGAAAGCAACGCUAAUCCCCCUGGUCACAAAGCCUACAAGAAAUUCUAUUCUUAAUAGGUCUCGUGAAGCUAAUCUUAAUUCAUGGUGAAGUGCUUAACAUUCUAUGAUUCACUUAGCCGGGUUUUCAAAAUUUAAUGAAUAAAUAAUUGAAAACAUUUAUCUUGAGUUAAGAACACCAACAAUAUUCUUACUCGACUUUCUUUAAUAAUUGGAAUUAUAAUUAAAACCAAUUAAAUCAUAAAUACUUUUAUUGCAAAUAAAAAUGCAAUUUCAUGUCAUGCUUUGCAUAUAAUAAGUGAUUACUUAAAAUAUGCACAUAAUAAUAAUUUAAUAUUAUUAUGCAAAUCAUCUUUAAAAUAAUUAAUCAAACUAAUUAUAGUCAAAUUAAUUAAAAUAUGGAUACCCAAAAUAAUUAAAUGUAAGGCUAUUCUUAAAAUUUAAAGAAGAAAAUAAAACCCAAACUAUUAAAUUAAAAGUAACUAUUCUAAAACAAUACAGCCCAAUUGGAUAAAAGACAUAGGCUCGGAUUUAAAUAAAAGGGGCAGUCCAGACAUAGUUAAAAAAAUGCAGCCCAUACUUAAAUAAAAUCAAUCAGCCCAAAGAAUUAAAUUAAAUGGCCCAACUAUUAAUUAAAACUGAGUCCAUGAUGAAAUAAAAUUAGCCCAAUUUCAAAUUAAAAAUCGGCCCAUAACUAAUUAAAUAAACUGAGCCCAAUACUGACUUGGCCCAAGUAAAUAAAAGAAAUCGGCCCAAUAGCAGCCCUAGCCCAAAUUUCAAAUCCAACCCCAAAGCCCAACCCUCACCCUAGCCCAACACCUAGCCUUCUUCCCCCCAUCAGCCGCAACACACGCACAAACACUCACAUUUCAGUCACUCAUCCCCUCCCCCUUCACUGCUCGUCUCCCUCUCUCUCUCGGACUCACGCCCAACCCCUCGGUCUCCCCCCUGCCGCCGCCAAGCCGCGGCCGCCGCCCCCUUCUCCAGCGACAACAGCUGCCGGCAAUCUCCCAUCUCCCUCUGAACUCUCUCAAACCUCGGUCACCACCGCCCACCUUCAGUCGAAUCACUCUCUCGACUGCUCUUCCGUCAACGAGCAGCAGCAAAAGCCACUCUUUCUUCUCCGACUCCGGCGAGUAGCAGCGAUAAGCUGCUGCUCCACCGUCCGCUCAGACCCUCUCACUGUACACUCCUCUCCGCCCGUCCUUGGCUGGGCAGCAGCGGCACCACCGCCGCCAAGCCCAGCCUCCCUCAUCUCUCUCCGACGACGACGCAGCUACAGGCUGCGCCUCCGCCUCCGGUCUCGCCCUCUGUCAGACGACAUCAACGACCACCGUCUCACCUCUCUUCCAUCGUCCUCGACCGAGCAGCAGCGGCAGGGCUGCCACUGCCACGGCCCCUCCACCGACUCGACUCCCACAUCUCAACAUGACACAUAUACGCACUAUCCAAGACUCGAUACAGCAAGUUCGAAAUCAAAGGAAAACAAAGCCUCAAGACUCGACUUUUAUUCAUCUUCAAAUACAUUGAUGCUUUCAAUAUAAAUAUGCACAGGUUAUAUCAUAUAUGUAUAUUCGUAAUAAAGUUCAUUCAUUUUUUUAAAAAAUAAACUCUUAGUAUACAUAUGUAUAUUCAUAUAAAUGCUUGUUAUAAUAAAGGUCAGUGAACAUAUAUAUGCAUAUGAUUCUUUGUUUUGUGAAGUUUGAAAUUUUUAGAAUGUGAUACUCAAGAAUGGGUUUGUUUGAAUUUGUGUGGCAGCUGAAAUUGAUUCACAUAUCGUAUAUUCAUUGAGGUGGAGAGUUUGUGUUGUAAGAAAUAAAUUAUGAAAUUAUGAUUGCAGUUCUUACCUCUGCACUUGUUCGUUGGGUUUCCUUUUGAAAGUGAAAUAUGGCAAAUUGUGUGGGAGAUUGAGUAAAAGUGGAAGGGGAUGGGUGAAGUAUAUCAGUGG
rnacentral:lncRNA from 1 species